UUAGUGUCUAUAGAUAAAUUAGCCCUAGACUUAGUGCUACACUUCUACAUUAAUGUUGUUACGAGACCAUAAAUCAAAUCAAAUAGUGUGAUCUUAGCUCAAGAGUAACUGUCAGUUAUUUUCUUAUAACUCAUUGUCAUACUAAAAUUUAAUUAAUGAUUAAUCACAUUUGAACUUAACAUGGGGAGUGGGAAAAGGCUUUAAAUGCUUACAGUAACUCAUAAGAUGUCUGUAGUCAAAAUAGAAAUUUCUAUUUCCUAGUUAAAGUAGGCCAUCAAAGAACAACUUAGUGCUCAUUUGGUUUACCAGUGCAAAUGCUCCAAACUAUGUUUGAGCAAAAAGAAGACUUUUUCUUCGAGAAAUCUUGCAUCAUAAAACUCAAAUUUAACUUUUGCAGAAAUUUGUAUCCAAAACAAAUAGGCCCUUAUACAAUAUAGAGUUGAAUAUUAACUUUAACUAAAUUUGCACCUAAAACAGCAUCAAGCCCUGACUUAGAAAGAAACCCCAAUGCAAUUGCUGCUAGCUCUGCAGAUGCUGCACAAAAAAUUAUUGGGUGGAAGACCUUCUUCAAGCCUGAUGGCAAUCUGAAAACAAAGGGAGGGGAUAAGAAAAGGCAUAGCUACAGUUAGUUCUAAUAAAAUCCAAAUACAAUGUUCCAUGACAGUAUCACAUUUUUUCUCCAUCUAAAUCAUAAACAAAGAAAGAAAAAGUAACUGCCCCCAGAACCAGCCAUGUAAAGAGUUCAAUGUAUAUGCAGUAAUGAAAAUGAACCUUUACCCUGAACCAAUCAUGUAGCCUAAAACUGUAGACGCAAGCAAGAAUGGAAGAUAUGUUCUGGCUCUUGUCCCCAAUGCUGUUGGAAAAACCAAUGAAGCAGCAAAGGAUAUAAGGAGAACCCCAGUCCAUGCCCACACUUCAAUGGAAGAAAAUGGAGAUGGCCUCUCCAUAGGCUCAGCAUCGAUCAAUUCUGUCUUCACAGCUUUCCUCACACCUAUAGCUGUCAAACCAGUUACACAAAGUGUAGCUAGCCAUCCUCCAACUGCAAAAGUUCAACAAGUCUCAACUCUCAUAAUGAAAUUGUAACAUUUAGACUCUAUUUACAUAAACUUCUCCGUAAAAAAUUAUAGGUGAAAACAUUAAGAAGACAAAGUGAAUUGUGUUCAGAAUCAACUUCUGCAAUUAACUUAUUUUCCAUCUAUCCUCGGUACUUAUGAGAAAUUUAUCCAAAUAAGAUCUUAAUUACACAUACACACAGACACCGUCAUCGUUACAAGAAUGCUUGAAACAUCAUCAUCAUUGUUCACCAUCAUGAUCAUUCGAAUAAGAGCUUGUCCAGUAAUCUAUACCUACAAUAAGGCAUAUUUUGAUUGCCGAAGAAGCGGGAAUAUCUUUAAGAGAAAGGGGAAGCACAACCAAAUAGGGAACAUAGAACAGAGGGAGCCAUCUAUGAAUGAAAAUAAUUCCCGGUUCAAAGAACUUCUCGAAGGCCACAGCAGCAGAGGGCACCGCAUAAUCAAGAAUGAUCAGAACAGAGAAAAUACAGAACAUCCCAAACAAGGCGCUAGGGAACUCGAUUGAAGCUGCUGCAAAGGCUUUCUUCAAGAGAAAAUCAAUAGCCAGAAUGAGGCCAAGGGAAACAACCCAAUGUAGCACCCCAAACACUCGAAGACGCAAAGUUUGGGUGACGGACUCAGUGGAAGUGGAAGUGCCCCCUGUUUGGGAUUGGAGUAGCUCUGUGCAAAGUUCUUCACUUUUGCAACUUUCUGGGGUACCCAUUUGCUAACAACCAUAAAUUGAACACAAUACCUCGAAUUGAUUGUGCAAACUGCGGAGGAAUCGUUAUCUUAUAAGUGGUGAUCGAAUACAGAAAAAGACAAAAUACAGAGUGCAAAUUCCACACGUCGGUUUUAGAAUUGGACGUCUCGAAACAAUUUGCAUAUGAUGUUAAAUUAAUAUUCUGAGUUUUAACACAAUAAAUUACUCCCAACUAAUUUUCAACGCAUGAAAAUAUUCAUGGGAUCAACAACAGAUCCAGAUAUUUUCCUUUCAUUAUAAAAGACUGAGUUAAUCUCAUCCUAUCUCAUAUGUCACGUGAUGUUAGGACCCUUUUUUUUCAAAAGCAAUGUAAUCAUUCCAUUCUUCUUUCAUGAGUCUGACUAUAGGUUGAACAUAGAAUAUACCAAUUACUGGUAAGAGAAAAAAAAAUCAGUACGCAAGUAUAUUUUAUUAGGAGAUAUGCAUGGUUGAAAUUUUUGAUGUGAUAUCAUGACAUAAUGUUCUUCAAUACUUUACUAGCUCUCAUGAAUGGUUAGACAAGUAUGAAUUACAUUCACUCAACAAAUUAUAUGUUCAGAUUAUCCACUAUCCAAAAUUUUCCUCGGUAAUUUUCAGUGUAACAAUUGACGCGAGUCUUGAGCAAAUGCAUUAUAGUUUAGAAGUCAAGCAAUUCCGCAGUUGCUUUCUUAGGAUCUUCCCGGUUGCAGACCUUGGUAUGUGGUUGGUGAAGAACACUUUCCUAAUCUUCUUAUAUGGAGCAACCUGCCACAAAACAGUUACAAAUGGGACAAAGUCUUAGUAGCCAACAGUAACAUAGCAUAACAUAAUUCAAAUAGUAGAAACUAGGCUGUUAUUUUAUAUUGUCGUCAAAUCACAAACCCAAAUGUAUGGUAAGUUUGGUGAUCCUUACGAUUACAAUCUUAAAAUUUUUGACAAUGUAAAACCAUUUUACAUUAUCAGUGCAUGACCAUUAAACUCUAAAAAUAGUGGCUAGCUGAUGUAACACCUUGACCAUGAUCAUAAAUGUGAAACAUUCCUAUAGACACUAUUGUAUUGAUUCAAGAGAAAAUGUGAACUGAAAUAUCAUAGAUAGCACUUAAAAGUCUGCCUUAUCAAGACGAACCUGCUCAGCAACAUAAUCCAUAACAUGCUUUGGAGACAGCACACUUCCAACCUUCUUUACUACAAAUGCCACUGGCAUCUCACCAGUUUCUUCAUCCAUAGCACUGAAGUGGAAAAUGAUGCAAUACUUCAGGGUAUAUUUUAAGGGCCAGAGAAGAACAUUUAGAGUAUGAUGACUAAUAUGUACAUGCAGUAGCAUACGAAGAUAUUUUGAUCUUUUAAAAAACACAUGCAGGGGGAAGAAGUGAGCUAUGAAACAAGGAUACUUCUCUUGCUUAAGGUGCUGGAAUGUCAGACAUGUUUCUCCUUCCAGAAGCUUAUGCAACAUCUGUCUGACAUUCAUCAUUUGGUAUCUAUUUAAAAAAUAUUUUUCAUGCUGGCAAUUCUAUUUCAGACUUCACACACUAGAGUCAAAAUGAACAGUUGGACACUAGUAUUAAAAAAAAUAUACUUUUAUCUAAAAUAUUCAGAAAUAUUAGUUUAAAUGUAAUACAAAAUAUUUAAAAAAAAAACAUGUUUAGGCUCAUUAUUAUAAGAUGAAUAUACAAGAAUAUGUACAUAUAUAAGUCUUAAUUAUCAUUUUAGACCUUUUGCUAUAUCCAGUGUGUGUUUCAUGGAGUUCAUACUUACCCUAUAACAGCAACAUCAACUAUUUCAGGAUGCAAAAUUAACACAGCUUCUAAAUCAGCAGGAGCAAUCUGUAACAGAUCAUAAGCCACAUGUAAGAAUAUAAACAAACAACACAAAAAUUGUAAUUUAGAAAUUAAAAAAAAAUCCUCCCUAUGAUUGAAAAUUGUGCAAUAUAGACAAUUGUUUGGGGAAAAUACAAUGCUACCGCCCAAAAAGUAAAGUUUCUAAAACUGGCAUCUCAACUAUACAACAAGGUUUGCAGUUUCUUCUGAGAAUAUAUAUCAAAAUCCAACAAUUUCCCAGUCAAUAUUUUUAUUUUUUUACUACAUACUUUAUGUCAUUCUAAGCUGAUCUAUAUUAUAUUUAAGAAACCCAAUAAGCAUUUCAUGUGUUCCUCUGAACCAAAGGUGCACUAUAUCCACACAGUGUGCAUUGUUGUCAACUUCUGAAUGUAUUGUAUUUAUUUAUUUAUUGUCCAAGGGAGAUCCCAACCCAUCAGGAAGGGGCAGGGAUGGGUUUUGAACAUUCAGACGCAAAAUCUGCUUGUCCUACAAUCGAACCAACUAAGCUGUCUCAAGGGAAAAGUUACAUAUUUGUAUGGAAGCAAGAGAAAAGGCUGUUAUUUAUUAAGGAUUUUUUUUUUGCUUUCUGUUUAAAUUAAAAUUAGAUACCUGAAAGCCCUUGUAUUUGAUGAUAUCUUUCAAUCGGUCAGCUAUGUAUACGUAUCCAUCAUCAUCAAAAUAAACAACAUCUCCAGUAUGUAGCCAACCAUCUCUAUCUAUUGUUGACAUUGUAGCUUCUUCAUUAUUCAAGUACCCUGAGAAAAUUUCAAAUUAACGUAUUUCAAUUGAAAUAUCAAUAAAAUAGGCAAAGAAAAAGGUAUUAGCAGAUAGGCUUGACUUGAUUAGAUUUAGGAACAACAAAGGAACAGACAAGAAAACACCUCUAACAUUGGAAAAUCACAAACAAGAAGUCACAACGACAAUUUUUACCAGAGAAGAACUUUUACCUAAUCUAAACAAACAAAAAACUUUAGGUAACAUUUUAGUGGCAAAGACAUGACAAUUUUUAACUGAAAAAGCAACAAUGGCAGCAACUUCUUAUUGUAAACAUUAAAACAAGCGAUUUAAAAUGUGUGUUUGGUUCCAAGUUAUUUUGAAGAAAUAACCACUUAUUUUCAUAAUUUUUCAAUAAAUCUUAUUGAAAAAUAAGCAAUUAUUUCAGAGUAAUAAAUUGUUCCCAAACACACCAAUAAAUAUAGAACUUAUUUUUCCUCCAUGAUGAUAUAGAGCUAUUCCUGUUUCAAAAGUAGAUACUUUUGUACCUAAUUGUAUAAAGGUAGGCACAUAUUUAUGACUAUCUACAUCACCUAAAUUAUCAAUUGGCUUGAAAAAAUCGUCUUUUAGUUGCUCCACGCCACCUACUGAAAAACUUAGGGGAGUUCCUAUAUCAAUCACUUCCAUUCCUCUCAUUAGACCAUAUGUAGCACUCAAUCUCAGUUACAGCUCUAACUCAAUUAUUUCCUAAUAAUUGUUCUACUUGACAAGUCAUGUUAAUUUGUUGACCAACAGCAUCUCGACCCUUAACUACAAGACUGUUAAUUUGUUACAAACACUAACAGAUAAGCUUAUAAUAUCAUUCACUAGAAGAACAAUAAACUUAAAUGGAGCUUCAGAGCCUUGUCAAAUAUUUUAUACACGGUAAAAUCGGAAUUUUUUCUAUUUCAUUUCAAUUAAGGAAAACAGAGUUUUACCCGUCAUAACUGAAGACCCUCUCAACCAAAGCUCACCACUGCUGCCAGGAGGCAAAAAUGCACCAGUAUUCCAGUCUACCACUUUUGCCUCCAUGUUUGGAGCCAAUAACCCUAUUGAAGAAUAAUUUCGAAACUUUUCAGUAUUGAAGCCACGUGUUCCAACGGCAGUUGACUCAGUCAUUCCAUAACCCUAAAAAGAAACAUUCUUACGGCUGCACAUUCUUAAAAAUCUAGCAAAACAACAUUACCAUAAACAAACAAAAGUCCAAGUAUAGAUGUACUUGAUGAGAAUAUUAACAGCACUAUCAGAGUAUUUGUUAUUACACAAAAGUUAAAAGCUCAUAAGCAGAAAGAAGGGGAACUUCACAUUUUACAUGGCUUCUUGUGUGUAGUGUAUCUGUUUCAAAAUAAACUGCACAAGUUUUUUAAAGAAUUUAUAGUGUUUCAUUUCAUUUAUCACAAUUUAUCGUAACAAUAUGAAAUGAAUUGGAAUCAACAUAUUUGGUAUUGACUCUAGCAAUUAGAUGAAUGCUGGCAGAUGACUUGCAUUGUUUGAAUAAGACUAUCUUGUUCAGAGGUUCUUUACCUGUAUAAAAUCAACAUUGGGGAAAGUUCGGAGAAAUUCAUUAACAACUCCUGAGCUCAAAAGCGCUGCACCACUAGAGACCUGUAUCAAACUCUGCAACUUACUGUCAUUAACACCGUUUGCCCUCAUUAUCAAUGCGGUCAACAUCGGCGGAACAACAGGAAAGUGUGUGACUUUAUAUUCAUCGAUCACCCUGACAACCUCGUCUAUGUCAAAUUUUCUCAUCACAACGACAGUAGAACCCAAAGACAACAAUCCCAGAGCAAAUAGCGACAAGCCAUACACAUGGAACAUUGGCAAAACAGCCAGAUACACAUUCCUCAAGCAAGAGCCUUCAUAUUGAGAAGCUUCAAACCUCACAAAAAGCUCAACCAUAGCAAUAAGAUUUUUAUGUGACAGAACAACCCCUUUGCUCACCCCAGUAGUCCCUGAAGAAUACAAUAUGCCAGCAGCGUCAUCCUGCUUGAUAACAGGCCUCUGAGGCAAAUCAAAGUCACAAGAAAUCAAGUCACAAAAGCAUGAAAAACAACCAUAUCUCAAACCCUUCUCGUUUUCUGGCACGGCAAUAACAGAAAUUCCCAAUGGCUCUAGUUUCUUGAAAUUUUCAGGCACGGUAAAAGCCACACUCACACCACACUCAGCAACCUGCCUGCGUAUUUCAUAGACACUACUAAGAGGGUUCAACGGUGUGACAAUAGCUCCUAGAUAGAGAACACCCAAGAACACAAUGGGAUAGUAAAUGGAAUUUGGAAGAAGAAUCAGAACCACAUCACCUUGAGAAACACCCAUUUUGUGAAGACCAGAGGCAACGGAUUUGACUAAAGGUAGCAACUUUGAGUAGGAAAUGGAACACCCAGAGGAGAAAUCAACGAGGGCCGAAACCCCAUCAUGGCGGUGGGAAAAAAUGAAGGAGACAACGUCGAGAAAAGGGUCGCUGGGAAGGUCCACAGGGGCAUGCUUGCUAUGGUAAAUGCCAGAUUUUGGUGAAAACCAUUGAGGGUGAGCGAUUUGCAUGCCGCAGUCUACGUUUGCAGCCAUUGACAGCUAUGUUUGAGUGAAGUGGAGUGUGGUAUGAAGAUGGCAGCAAAGGAACAUGCAGAUGAUGAUAAAAAAAUGGAACAAUGGAAUGAAAGAAGGAAUCAAUGAAUGUAAAAAAUAAGAAAGAAUGAUCGAAUCUGGGGUUCCGGCGGGAACUACUCCACACUGAGUUUCAUUGGCAUUCUUUCACCACUACAAACAAACUUCAUUUUUAUUAAUACCAUUUCUGAACAAAAUACUUACCUAGGAACUUUAAUCAAUAAAAUGUGUGAAACUACCACUAAUGGCAUCUACAAUGUUGAUUAUCACUUAAAUUAAUCUGAUUUUUUAUACUUUCCAUUAUAUCACGCUUUUUUAGAUUUUUGUUCAAAUUUUAAGAGUUUUACAAAGCUCAAACCCUUCCUAAUGUUUUAUUUCCUUAUUCAUAAAAAUAUAUAUUUUCAAAAGAGAAACUUUUUUAUUCUUAUUUUUUAUAAUUCAAUAAAAAUAUAUAUUGAUAUAUAUCUUAAUACAACAACUUUGAUUUUAUUAGUUUUAUUUUUCUUGAUUUGUUUAGUAAUUGUAAAGUGUAUUUGUUAAGAAAAUAUUAAUGUUAACAUGAAAUAAACUUGAAGGGAAGAAUUUUAAAUUUAGAAAGUUAAUUAAAUCAACCUUAAUAUGCAAUUAAGGUUGAAGGGAUACACGGAGAAAUUUUAUUUUACCAAACAAAAAGCAAAUGAUAAAAUACUCCCCUCAAUGAUAAUUGCAUAUUAAAGACGUUUUCUUUCAAGACAUGUAACAAUAUUAAAGACCAAGAAAAACUUAUAUCACACAAGCUAUUAUAUAAAUGAGUGUAUAGAUAGAAAUUGGGAUUAUAUUUUUUUAUAAUAAGAUUUUAUUGAAGAUAACAUUAAUUAUAAGAUAACUUAUAUAUAUAUAUAUAUAUAUAAAUUUAUAUCUUUAUAAUUAUUUAUAAUAUAUUACAAAAAUAUGUUAGUUUUAUACUAUGAUAAGAGUUUUACGUUAUAAUAAAGAGAGUAUCUAUAUAUUUAAUAUUUUAUGAAAAUAUUAAAACUAAGUCCUUCUUAAGUUAAUACUUAAAAAAAACAUGAAUAAAAGUGAGGUAUUUGUAAGCCUUAAAUGUCAAUCUUAAUGAGAUUAACAAACGAUAUUGAAUAUGGGUUUGGGAUUUGACUUACAACCAUAAAACUCAAUAUCAGUAUGAAACGUAUGCGUCCAUAUUCUACUUUUGAAGUGAACAUCAAAAGUUACUCAUGAAAUGAUUAAGUAGUUGAAUAUUUCUCAUUAAAAAUAUUGAUACAGUAAUAAUUAUUUUUUUCAAGAAUACUUCAACCUACAAGAAAAUAUAUACUCACUAUCUAACAUUAGUGCCAGUAUCAUAGUCCAAAGUUUGGUAUAUGAAUAUCCUAGUCCAAAGCCUUAUAACUUCCCAAACAUUGACAUUCAUACAUUAUUUUACUCUCAACUCAUUGUAACAAAAUCUAUGUCUCUUUCUUAAAUGAGAUACUCUUUGACAUUUCUAAGAAUAACGUAACAUGAUGAUUAUUAAAAUAUUUUAACCAAUAAUUUAUACACACCAUUCAAAUAAAUGCAAAAGUAUAACAAUAAUAAUAGAGUAUAUGGAUAAUUUUCUUUUAUCCAAGUUCACUAAAUACAAAAAUAUUUACUUUAACUUUAUUUUUAUUAUUACUUUCUUUGUUAUUUUUUCAGAUUAUCAAAAAGAUUAUGUUUAAAACAAUACAAAAUAAAAUAAGAAUCAAAGCAAAAAAUUAUACAUGAGUCGAUAUAUCACAAAUAAAUAAAUAAACAAAAGUAUAAAGUAACAAUGAGAACCAAUCUCUAACGGAUAUAAAUUGAAUGACAUAGUUAUAAAUUUGAUAAAGAUGACAAUGUGUAAUUAGGGAUACGUUAAUUGAAAUAAUUAUAAAUUAAUAAACAUGACCACUGUAAUUAAAAAUAAAUUAAAUGACAUAAAUGUAAAUAAAUAAACAUGACCAAUGCAUACUUAGAGAUUAAAUUAAAUAUUAAAAAUAUUAAAAAUUAAGAAAAUGAAAUAAUAUAUAAUUAAAGUUAUUUUUAUUGAUUAAAGUAAUUAUUUUCAAAGUUAUUUUUGAUUGAUUGAUGUGAUUAUUUUUCAAUAUAUAUCAACCAUUUUUUCUCUCAAUGUUUACAGUAUUGAAGCAAUAAUCUAAUAAUAAUUAAAAUAUUUUAUCAAAAUAAAAAAAAAAUUAUUUUAAAUUAUUUGAUCAAAACAAAACAUUUGAAAAACUAAUCUAUCUAAAAGGGAAAGCAAAUUUGUAAAAUUCUUGGUCCAAUAAGGUAAAUAUUUACCAGCUCCUUGGCAAAAAUUAAAUGUUUCAUUACUUACUACCUUCAUUCCCUCCCUUCUCAUUCAAUCAAAUUCGCGGAGUAUGAACCUAAAAACUAAAAACUAAAAAAACAAGAUUCAUUUCUAUAUUGAUACUUACUUGAAUGUCAUGGAGAACAUUCUAUUAAAAACAUUAUUAGUGGAAUGUUUUUUUUUUCUCUUCACAUCAUACUAUAAUACUUCUAAAGCGACCCAAAUUGACUCCAAAGAUGACAUAAAUUGAAUAACUUUCAUAAAAGCAAAAUUCUAGGUAAUGAUAAUAAUAACCUAUUAACCAGAAUAAAUUGUUUUGACAAACAUUCACAUCUUCCUAGGAGCUUGCUCAAAGUAAAAUCCUGCUACCCCACAUUUGGAUGAAACCAAACCAUUUACAUGUAAGGAGAAAAAUCAUUUACACUUGAAAUGGAUAGAUAAAAACCCAAAACAGAUCUAAGUUCACUGGAAAUACUAAAUUUUCGGCAAGUCUCAAGCAAACUGGUUGAUUGGUAUGCAGGAGUUGAGUUCAAGGCUAAACUUAGUACUGAUAAACAUAAUGGGGAGGGGAGGGAGGAUGGUAUUGGUAGUAAUAACCUGGUGGAUACUCAUUAUAUUGAGGUGGUAGUGCGGGUUCAAUGAUAUGAUGGGGUGGUGAUAGUUGAGGCAGAUGAUGGGGUGGUGACAGUUGAGGCAGAUGAUGGGGUGGUGAUAGUUGAGGCAAAUGAUGGGGUGGUGGCAGUUCAGGCAAAUGAUGGGGUGCUGACAGUUCAGGCAAAUGAUGGAGUGCUGACAGUUCAGGCAAAUGAUGGGGUGGGGAUGGUAUAUGCAAAUGAUGAGAUGGGAAUGAUUGAUCCAGAUGAUGGGGUGGGGAGGGUGAACUAGGCUCAGUCGAUGGAGAACUAGGAGCAGCAGUUUGUUGUUUAUCUACUUCGAUUUCAAUCAAUUCCUCUUCAACCUCAAAUGACCUGAAGAUUGGAUGCAAGUAAGCAUCAGCCAAAUAAGCCUUUAUGUUCAAGUCAGGUUCUGUGCUCUUCUCCAAUAAAUCCUUUGACAUUGCUUCCUGAAUAGAUUAAGAGAAAUCAGUUUUCCAUACAACCAUCAACUACGAGAAAUCACAUAAUAUGUAGCCACCUUCAAAGAAGAACAAAAGGAAGCUUAGUGUAGAGAAUUCUACUACACUGUUCCAAAGGUUUUGUAAUUUGGAAUAUUGGCUUAUUGCAUGGUGCAUAUCUUACCUCAAUCGGGUACUUCCGAAAUGCUGGCUCAAAACGUCUCUGGCAGUACUUGUGGAAUGCAAAUGUCAAUACUGGUAAUAUAACAAGCAAAGGUGUGGAUUUAGCUGCCUUUUUGGUGCUAAGCAAUCCCAAUAGAAGAAACUGGGAUAUUAGCAUGCUUGCAAUGAUGCGGCUGUGAACAAGUGGCCAAAAUGCAGCAGCACUUUCAUACUGUUGGUUGUAGACAUUGAUUAUCUGCAUAAUUAAACAUCAUGUAAAGUUAUAUUUAGGCUACACCACAUCCUGUUUCAUUGUGUUGGCACACAAAAAUGUUACAAGCUCAUGAGCAAUAUACCCUCAUACAGAUUACAUGCAACACGCUUAUUUUAAUGGACAUAAUAACGAUUGCUUUUAUGUAAUUAUUACUUAUGCUAUGGUUUGGCAACUUCUGACAAUUCCAAAGGACCAAAAUCUAAGAAAUCUUCAAGCUACUGCAAGUCAAAUUAGCAAAAAGAGGCAUGUUUUAAGAUGACACUAGCGGAGACACUGACCUGAUGACGAUAAACCAAAUAUGCAAAGGCAAAGAAGACUAGUAUGAAGGGAAGAAGGAUCGGUGUGACCACAGCGUACACAAUUCCAAGAAGGAAGUAUAGUUGAAGACUUGGAAUAGUCUCUGGAAAGUCCACACUCCCAGGGUCCAUGGCCUUUCCUUUAUCUCUUUCUGUUUUAACUAUGAACAUGUUCUUGAGAUGGUAUAUAACCAAUGGCUUUAAUCUGAGAAUCUCACUAGCAAUUCCAGCCCAUCCAUCAACCAUUAUGUAUGUCAUAAAGAAGGUAGCCUUCAUUGGAAUGGAAACUCCAAUUGUUCUAGGAAUCCUAUAGACAAUGAUAAGAUUCACAAGAUGAAUGCAUAUGUACGAGUACUCUUUAGCAACAGAAGAAAAAACACCAAAAAUAAUUAAAGAAAGGUAAAAGAGAUUUAUCAGAUACAGUGUAAGAUUCAAUAAUGUUACGAAAAGGUUAUGGCAUUUAUUGCAUUAAAUAUAUGUAACUGGAAAGUUGGUGUGCAACAUUAGAGAAUAUCUAAACAUAAUAUAUUUCCAGUCAGACAUAGCUUUAACACAAAACUGCUUAAUUAAAGACAUACUGUGUAGGUGACUGGUGAAGGAAAGCAUGCAGUUGUUGAAAUGCAGUUCCAGUCACUAUGCUUCCCAAGAAAACAUUCACCAGCAUAAAGUAAUAAUAUUUUGCAGCUGUCUUCCGCUCAAGAGUUGACAAUGCAGUAUAUCCCUCAAUUUUUGACAUGAUCAUCAGAACUGAUGGUAGAAUGUACAAAAAUACUUUAAGAGCCAAACCAGGAAGAAAACCUUGUAGAAAGGACUUGAUGAAGUUCCUGUCAAAAGCCAAAAAAUCUGUUAGGCUAACCAUAAGGCAUUUGAGCCAGUAAUGUAUACAGUAUACCAUGUUCUAAUUUUACAACUGAAAAUUCAUCAAAGUAGAAUAAAUGAAGAAAAUAGUGUAUAGAAAAGAUAGAUGAAUUAACAAAACCAAAUAGGAUAAAUCAACCUAUUUAGUAAUUUCUGAAAUAGAAGAUAACGAAUAUCUGCUUUGCACUAAGGUAAAAUAGUAAAUUCCAAUGCCUUGAAGACAUAUACAUCAUUUAUUACUGGGGCCCUGAUUAGUUUCAAAAAACUAAACUUAACAAAUAAAGAUUGAGCAUUAUAUAUUCUACCAUAGAAGCUAAAACAGUUAAUGAUGAAAUUCUAGAACAAUAUAUAUCAACUUCUAGAUUAAUUACCUUCUCUACUUAUAUCCAAAAAGAAAUUUAAGUUCACUUACAAUUCUAUAACUGGUCUGAGGAAGGGAGCAACUUUUUCAAGACCUUCCAAAUUGGCAAGGGAUUGCACAAAAGCAAUGGGAAUCAUGUAGAAGAAUACCAAGGCAAACACAGACAAUGUUAUUACAAGCUUCCGGAUGCUUAAAGAAACAAAUGGUAUGGCUAAGUUUCGCCAAUAUACAUCACGUGGCUCAGGAGCCCAAUCAGUUAGCCAGAGUGUUGGAUUCUUGCUUUGUUGGGUUUGUGCACAAACCGAUGCUCCCCAACGGGAAUUGAAUGAAAGAAAAGCAACUGGCAAAAUAGCUUUGGGAUCUUUUAUAACUCUCUGGCGUUCCGAUGUCAUCUGCACAUGGUAUGCAGUAUAGCUAUAUUACAGUACCUCGAUUUCAAUAAUGGAAGCAUGUGUAUUAGCAUAAGGACACAGAGGAUUACCAUACAGAAGGUAACAUGCCACAGAAAAGAGAAAAACACCCGACUUACCAGGUUAUCAAGUUCCUUAAUUGCAUGUUUGUAGUACUCAAUCGCAUCAACUUUCCCACCCCAAAGGCCUAAAAAUCCAGUCUAAAGGGAAAAAUAACAAUGUCAGAUUCAGGUUCCAAACAGAUUAUUAGUUACAUUCCUCACAAUUACAUAUCUUGGUGCAGAUAAAAGAAAUACCUUGACGGUGGACCUUUUGUCAGGAUGUCUUUCAAACUUAAGCUGGUAAUAGUCCAGCCAAUUUUGGAGUCUAUCUCUUCUUUUCGAUAAUUUAGCAAAUUUAUUUGCAUUGUAGACAGCCUGAAUAAAAUUUAAUGCAUAACAAUAUGAAUCAUUUAAUGUAAGGAAAUAUUCUGCUGAGUUAAAAUAAAUCAACAUUAACACCAUUUACAAAUGCCCUGAUCGGUUUAUCUUUAAUAAACUUUCCCAAUCAAGAAUGCAAUAAAAAUUAUUACCUGGUGUCCAAUAUAAUGAUCUGGGUGGUUUGUUUGAAAGAAGCCAUUCACAGAAUCUGAUACUGCGUGAUCAGGCAUACGAGGGAUAUUCCUGACAAGUACCUGCAACAAGAAUGUAAAUAACUGUGAAGAUUUGAAAAGAUGCUUAAAGAAAGUUAGAGGGGGAAAGCAUUUAUAGGAGUGACUAUCCAAGCUGAAAAGCAUUCUAUUCUAAAACCAUAGCAUCUUUGCUAUAAGAGUUCAAUAUAGGCCAUUGCAUCAAUCCCGUACAAACCACUUUAUUCAAGUACCAAGAAUGGGUUUAAAGCUAGAAACUGAAAAUUAGCUCCUUGUGAAGAAGUACAAAGAAGCACAUCUAGAGUUGUUUUGGUACGUCCAAUAGCUACAUCGCUUAGGAGUCGAGACUAAAGACGGUUUAUGUACAUCUUUCUCCCUUAACCCACUGAAACACCUUUUAAGGACAAGACCGUGACAGAGCUAUGAGCUCAAAAACGAACAAUACCUCAGAUGCGGUGAUUGACUUUUAACGAUGUUAUCUCAACGGACUUGAAGUCGGAACAUUGGUCCCGUCUGUGGGAACAAAACGAGGUUCCGAAGACGAACCCUCAUUCCUUUAGCCCUCAACUAGGGGGAAUUCGUUCCCACUAGACUUCGACUGACCCAGUAAUCCCACGUCGCUUAGGAGUCAAGAACAAGGUAGUUUAUAUACACCUUCCCCCUUAAUCUACAAAAACGUCUUUUAAUGAGAAGAGCUUUGAACUCUAAAACGGACAAUACUUCGGAUGUCCAGUGAUUUCUUUGCUAACUAGUGAAAAGUAAACUGAUAAAAUAACCAUGCAAGCCUUACCAUAAUACACAAAAAAAAAGGAACAGACGCUUCACUGCAAUUGAAAAAUGGCGAGGACUGAAGAGCUCCAAGAAAUGCUUUCUAGCAAUACGAAACAAUCUAAAUUUUAUUCUACCUAUUAAAAAUGAAUUAAGAUUUUUAACUUACUGUGAAUUGCUCCACACGCCUGCGUUGUGAUGCAAUGAAGUGCAAUCUCAUUGAUGCGAUAUUAUCAUAUUCUUUGUACAGCAGAAAACAAAUCCAUAAUGUGAACAUGUAUUCCAAUGCUAUGUGAACAAAAAAUCUGAAAUUUAUAAUUCCAGCUGUUAGCUAUUUGAUAACACAAAAAUACUAUCAUGAAAAUGUAAUGUAGCUUGCAAUACACAUAAAACUAAACAAUACAAGAUUUAACCAAAACAAGAGAGACAGGGAGAUGAAGAGAAAAUAUUUAAAUGGUGGAUAUUAGAUAUCAGGGAUUGAAUACGAUUUAGUACAUGAUUAAAAAAGUGAACUCUUUGAUGAGACAAUAUAAUACAUGCUUCAAUUAUAUUUUUUCCUAAUAAAACUUUAAUGCAUGAGUGAUGCGAGUAGUUAAAGUCAAGAGAAGAAAACACAAAAACUUGGACCUCAAGCGAACCAUUCCUUCAUAAAGAACGUUCUGAAUUAUUUGUUUAAAUUUUUGGGGGAGUUUAAGGAAAAAAUACCUUAUAGAUUCAGGAGGAACAUUUGAUAUUGAGAGUUUAUCAAUAUCACUCACUACCAAUUCCCUUUUUAGGAAAAAUAAUGUCCCACUUGAUACGUUGACUGGUAUAAGAAUGAGGAGUGCCACAACUGUGAUUGGAACAAAAAUCUUUAAGCUGAAAAGAAAGAGAUAAAAAUUAGUCCGAUUAGUAGUAAUCCAGCACAGUAAUUUCAACAUUAACAAGAAGUUGAAAAGGAGAGUCUUAUCUCUCUUUUCACUAUCUCAAACUCAUGCCUCCCAUCAAAAGAUUACAUUAAUAAAUUCGAUAGACAGAAAAAAGGUGCAUCCCUCACAUGCAACACAUAAAAGUUGACAGAAAACAUAAACAGAGGGAGGAGCACAAUGAAAAGUGGAAAACGUAGAAAAUUGGACUACACCCCAUAAGGUGAAGCUUCCACGGAAGAGAUUUAACAAAAGCUGGCAAAACCAAAAAGAAAGUUCAAAACCACACGGCAAUACUCUAGAAUCUAUUUGAUAAUCAAACGCAUGGAAAUACAAAUACAAGCAACAACCAAAUACUUAGCAUUUUGAGAAGUAGAACAAUUUUCAAAACAUAGUUGCCGCACAACAACAAAUGCAUAACAACAAUUACAGCAAACAAAAUCACAAUUCAAUAAAAAACACAACAGCAUGUCAGUUCUGUCUUUUUUUCCCAAUGAUAAAAUUAAAUGUAAAAAAAAAGUAGUCAAUGACUCAGUGUGACUAAAGUUUAAACCUUUUGCAUUAAAAUGAUAAAAAAAGGAUCAAUUCUGCAGGAUGGUCGCCGCACAACAAUCCAUCACAUCAAUCACAGAAUCCACAGAAUUUAGUACAUUAAAUUAAAAAAAAAAUCAGAAUAUGCUUAAUAAUAAAAUCUUUUACGAUGGAUGAGAAAAAAAUGGUAAUUUUAUCAUGAGUUAAGCGGAAGGCAGCAAGUGAUUGCUGAAAACAAACAACACGAGAAUGGAGUGAACCAUAGAGAGUAGAGAGAUGUGAUAAAUGUUUAAAGGGAAAGUGAAAGUUGAUAUGAAGAGUGUAAAAGGAGAAAGGAGUACCCCAGAGUGUAGAUUCUAAGGAAAGCAGCAGAGUCAAGGCCAGCAUGGCUGAUAAUCUCAGACUCACUCAUUCUGAGAGCCUGAGGCAUCCAAUUCAGGAAGGUAAGGUAAGUCCUGAAAUUGAGGUUCACAAACUUGCCCACAAAAUUCCCAGAACUCCUAGGACUACUUCUCCCUCCACUGAGAUACCACUUUGGAAAGUAGACCCUAUCAUUGACGGGUUGGAUUCUCAGCAGAGCAAAAGCCAGCAAGAAAGCAAAGGCUGAGAGAAUGUUGAUGGUAGCUGAGACACCAAUGUCUGCAAGGGUGGCCAUUGCAGAAACCAAAGGAGUCGAGAGAAAGAGAGAGAGAGAGAGAGAGGAUGGGGUGUGAGAGAGGAAGAGAAUUGAAUAGAAGAAUGAGAAGGGAAAGAAUAACUGAUUCUUGGUAACUCCAAUUCUUUAUUGCAUGGUGGAAAUAAAAAAGCUGGGUUCUUUGCUGUUGUUUGACUUUAUUGAGCAUCAAUUAAUAAACUUCAUUUAAAAAUUAAAUUUUUUUGAGUUGGGUUUUUGUUUGAUUGUGAUGAGUAAGAGAGCACUUUGCAAGAGACGGUUUCAUGUGCUAAUGGAAAAGGAUUAGCUCUUAACAUAGUGCCAUGUUCUUGUUUUUGUGUUUGGGUUGUGUCUCUGUCUCAGUUUCUACCAUCAUAAAGCAUCUGAUGAGUAAAUUGAAAAGCCAGAAAAAAAAAAUUAAUUAAAGGGACUAAUCUUUUUGCUUUCAUUUUUUGUUUUUUUUUUUUCUUUAAUUCGCUUUUUCCUUGCGGCGGGAAAGUUCGCUGUAAUCAUGCUAAUCGCCACGUUCGCGGCAAUAAAUCGGCUAACGUUGUUCCAAUACGUAAAUAAUACGAUACAUGUAUCUGUGUAACAUAACAUGCAUCGUAUUUAGGCUUAAAUAAAAUGGUUUUCAAAUAAUUUAUUAUAUUUUUUUAAUUCAGAUCUUUUUUUCAGUAAUAUAUGUUUGAUUAUAAAUGAUAAUAUUUAUCAUCAAAAUAAAUUUAAUGGUGUGAAUGCAAGUAAUAUUGUGUUACUUUUUUAAGUUUCAUUUUUUAUUUAAUGGACCUCCCUCGUAUUUUUUGUUAAUUUUAAUUAAUAAUAAGAGUAUGUUAAAGAAUAAUGAAAACGCGUUGUUAAUUAACUUUCUUUCAAAAUUAUUAAACCAGGUAAAUUUAUGAUAAUGGUGGCCCCUGGUGGGGCAUGGUAAAAAAAAUAAAAAAGUAAUGAAAUUUAGGUUUAAUUAAUAUUUUUUUGUCUUUGUAAAUGAAUAUGCACGUUUCUUUUAAUUUUUUUUAAUCUCUUUAAAAUUGAUAUUUGUUGUGUAAUCUUUGAAAAAUAUGUGAAUUUUUGUUUUAAUUUCUAUAAAAUAAUUUUUUUAAAUUUUAUACUAAUAUCGAUUCAUAAGAUUUUAUUUUACAUAAACAAAUAACAUAUCUUAAAAUUAUUUAUUGACAUUUUGUGACUUGAUUUUUAGUUUAAAGCAAUCAGUUAAUAAAUAUUAUAUAACAAUAGAAAUAAAACAAUAAUUUUAAUUUUAAAAUAAAAAAUUCAGAAUCAAAAUUAAAAUAAACUUAUUUUUAUUGAUAUUAAAAAUAUAUUUAAACAUAAAAUUGAUACAAUAAUUUACAUCUGAUUUUAAAAUAAUUAAAAUUUAUAAUCAUACAUCAUUUAAUGAAAAUAAUAAUGCAGCAUAUGUGUGUGUGUGGUGUCACAACAUUAAAGGACACUUAAUAUUAUUAUUUAUGAUAUAAUUAAUCUCAUUUAAGUAAUUAAAUGUAACGUUAAUUUUUUAGUAUGGAUUAUAUGAAAUAUAUUAUUUAAUGAUACAUUUUUAUCUUAGAAGAAUAUUUUUAUUUUAUUAUGGGUUUUAUUAUUUUUCCAGUAUAUUGAUUAGAGAGUUGAGUUUAUUUCUAUUAUAUUGACUCAAAUAAAUUUUUAUAUGCACUGAAAAAAUUGAAACGGAUUUCUUAUUAUAUGAAUGAUAGUCCACGUUACGAGUUUAAGCAUUAAAUCAAUUACUGAUGUUAAAUAAUUCUUUGAUAUUUUUUAAAAUAAUAAAAAACAACAGUAAAUAUAUAAUUUAUUAGAAUAACAUUUUUUUAAUAAAUACAAUCCUUUAGUUUAUUAACAAUAUAUCAUGUAUAUAUAAAUUUGUGUUCAGAUUAGAGUAGCUAAUUUGAUUUGUUUAUAAGUUAAUUUUAGUAAGGUACAUUAACUUCAAAUUUUCAAAUUACAAAUAAUUUCAACUAGCUUUUGUAAUACUUUAAUUAUUUUUUAAAAAUUAUUUAAUUUUUUAUUAUCACUUCUUAUAUUUUAAUAUAUAUUUAUUCAUUUUUAUUAAUUAUUAUAUCAACUAGAUUUUUAUUUAUAAGUUAUAUAUAUAUAUAUUUUAUUUUAUACAGACAAUUAAUUAUUGUAUAAUUUGUAAUAUUUGCUUUAUUACAUUUAAAUUUUUUCUAUAUAGUUUAAAUUAAAAAAAAAUAACUAAUGUUUCAUUGCAUAAUAAUGUUAUACAAAAAUUACAUACAAUAAAAAUAAAAAUUGUAAGAAAUAAAUUUAAUUUAGUUUAUUAACAAUAUAUCAAGUACAUAUAAAUUUGUGUGUAGUAAGGUUAGAGUAGCUAAUUUGAUUUGUUUAUUAGAUAACUUUAGUAAGGUACACUAAAUUUGUAAUUUGUAAAUUACAAAUAAUUUCAAUUAGCUUUUUAUUUAUAAGUUAUAUACUACUUUAACUAAUUUUUAAUUUUUUUAUUAUUAUUUCUUAUAUUUUAAUAUAUGCUUUAUUAUUUUUAAUUUCUUUUUACUAAUUAUUUGAUAUUUUAAACGUUAAUUAUAUAAUCAAACUUAAAUAUUUAUAUCAAGUAAUAUUUAGCAACUAACUUUAUCAAACAAUUUUAACUCAGUGAAUUAAUUUAUGAAUUCAAAACUUAUAAGUUUAUAUAAGUUAGUGUUGUGAAACAUACUCUAUAUAUACACACAAUUAAAAUGUAUUAUAUUACACAAUUAAGAAAUAAAUAAUAUAUGAUCCGAUUAAAUAUAAUCAUGUUGAAAAUGUAUAAUCUAUCAAUCAAACGAGUUUAUAAUUUAAAAGUGUAUUUUUCUCAGAAAAAACAAAGAGUUGAAUGAUACCAAAACAAGAAAAAUGAGAGACUGUGAAACUUAGAAGUGUGGGAUGAAUGGCAGAGGAGGAGAGUGGUGACAGAGCCACCAUGAUUGGCGGUGAGAUCGGCUACUGCAUUACUCUUAAAAAGGGUGCCAUGAAGUGUUGUAUUUAAAACCCGUGACACCAUCGAAGGAUGAGUCUUAUUCAUUCUGAGAUUGUUGCUUUGCAUGCAGCAAACACAAGUAACAGUGUGCCGAACCACAAACAACCCUAACGACAAUUUCAUUUGACUCUUUUUUCCACCAAUUUUGUCGGUAAUUGCAGAAUUUCCCCAUUCACUAUGUUGUCUCAUUGGUUCAUCCAAAUCUUGAUUGCUUCCAAGGAGAUGAACCUUCUGGCUACUCUUUCUUAACAACAAAACAUUAACAUCGUCUCAUCACAUCUUAAUCACCAAACAAUCCAUUUUAUGCUUCAAUUAAGAACUAAGUUUUCAGUUUAAAAUCUUAAAAAAAAUGUUUAAGUGUAAUGAUUAUAUACAUAAAUAAUCACGAGAAGAUAAUUAGAGAAAAUAAUAUUGAAUAUCUCCCAUACUUCUUUUUGAAUAAAUAUUGAAUACUGUUAUAAAAGACUUCAAAAUAAAAUUAGGUUAGACCAGAUAAUUAUAACAUUAACUAAGAUUUUUUGUUCAAUUGUUUCAAGAUGUCUCAUCCAACAUGAAGAGUAUAGAUGAUGUUCUAAAAAACAAUAAUGUUUGUUUAGUGGAAAUAGUAUAAAAUCUAAGUUGAAAACGAAGCUUAUCUAUAAAAUAUACAAAGGGGAAUGAUCUCAUGAUUGUAUCUGCAAAUUUAUUGUAUUAAAAUUUUAUAAGAAUGAUUUAAAAAGAAUAUUACUUUUAAGUAAAGAAAUUAUGUAGUUAUUUUUUAAAAGAGGUGUGUAGUUAUUUAUUUUAUUAAUAAAAAAUAUUUCUAUUUAUUAAAAUAUACUUUUUUUAUUAAAAAAAUACCAAAAAUAAUUUAAAAUGUAUAUUUUCCUUUAUAUAAUGGUAUACAUAUUUACAAGUAUAAAAUUUAACUUAUAUAAAUCAAAAUUAUUUUUUUUAUCCAUGUAUAUCUUAUCUUAUUUUGAUUUAUUAAAAAAAUAAAAAAAUUUACUUUAUAACUAUAUUUCAUUUGUAUUUAAUUCUCAUUUUUACAUAAUUUUAAUGAAAUAUCAAUAUUAAAAAUAUUUUAAAUAUUACUAGACCUUAUAUGCCAGUACAAUUUGUUCAUAAAUGAUUAUUAAAUAUUUUAAUUUCAAUGUUUAAUUAGAUUACUUUUUCGUUUAAAUUAGAUAUCAGUACUUUUAAAUUCAAAUAAAUAAUAUCAUGUAUUUGAAUAUUAUGAAACUACAAUUUGUAUUUUAUUGUGUUUAGAAGUGAUAUUUACUUCUUUGCUGUAUGCUAUGAAGUAGGACAUAUUAAUAAGUUUGUUUUAUAUUUAUUAUAAUAUUAUACUUGUUUGAAUUUUAUUUAAAUAUUUAUGAAUAAAAUAGACUUAUACAUCUUAAUGCGAAUCAAUUUUAUCUUAAAAUAUUUAUAUAAAUUAUAAAAACUAUAUCAAAUUAUAUUGAGUGAGAGUGCACGGGAAUGUAUAAUAUACAUAAAUAAAUAAGGAUACAAAAGAUUGGUAACCGAUAACAAAUCAGUAUGUAUAUCAUUAUUAUUUAAUUUAAUUUAAUUUUUAAUUCAUGUAAAAUGAAUAAAUUUUAAUUUUGAUCUUUAUAAAUGCUUUUCUUUGUUUAUUUUUAUUUUUGUCUAAUUUAAAAUUUAAUUUUUUAAUUUUUAUAAAAUGUGUGAAUAUUAGUUUUAGUCCCUAUGUCACACUUUUCUUUGAUUUACAUUCUUUUAAAAAAAAUUAAAUUAUGCCCUUGAUAUUUAUUUUUAAGAUAAAUUAAUAACAUUCACUUUCUUAUGUUAAAAGUUUGUUUGGAUGACUUUUGUGAACCUUAUAUUAUAACACUUUAAAAUAGUUAUGUGAUUUUUCCGAAAAAUAUAAAUUGUUAUUUAAUAACAUAUAAGAAUUUCAAGUGAUAAUUUAUAAUUUUCAAGAGAUAAAAACAAAUAAAAAUUAUAAGAUAAAAAAACUCAUAACUUAACCUUCUCAUUAAUUGUUAUUUCUAAAUUUUUCAAUAAUUUAAUAUUCAGUGGAGAAAUAGUUUAAUUGCAUGAAUAAUUAUACAAACUAAUAUAUUUAUAUACAUGCUUCUUAAAAAAAUAAUAUAAAGUAAUCCCCUAGUAACUUUCAUACAUGAUUGUAGUGCAACCACAUGCACAUGUAGUUAGGUAUAUAAUGUUAUAACAGGAACAAUAAAUACAAGAAUAAGUUAUUUAAAAAAUUAUUAUAAUAUAACAAUUUUAUUUCAUUUUAUCUUAUAAAUAAAAUUCAUAAUUUAACUUAAUCCAUCGUCAAAAAAAUAUACGCAUAAAUAUAAACAACAUAUUACACAUGGAUCCAUAUAAUAAAGAAUAUAUAGGUUGAAAUAUCUAGUGUUCUCUUUCAAAAAAAAUGUAUUUUUUGUAUAAGCAUUUUGUAAUUUAAUUUUAUGGGUAUAUGAUAAUUUUAAUGCAUUCAACAUCCAAAAUCCAUAGUUUGUCAGAUAUGCAAUAAACUUUCAUUCAAUUUCAUACCAUCUUGUUAUGUGGUUUAUAUUACUUAAAUCAUCAAUAAACUUAGAGAUAUCUAUCAUAUAUCUCAAUACAUAAUUCACAUAUUUGAACAAUGAUUCAAAUGUCGUCCUAGAUUUGUAACAUCAAUUCCAUACAUUUUACAUAAAUGUACCAUUCUCAACUACAUUUCAUGUACCACAUAAUUUACUUGAAAUAAGAUGAUAGAUAAUUAAAAAUUUAAUAUUUUUUUUAUAUAUUUAUAUAUAGCACCAUUGUUCAUUCAAUUAAAUCAAUAUACAUUUAAAAUUAAAAGUAUUUAUUUUCUUUCCUUGAGCAAGUGACAUUACUUUCGCUUAAGCACUAUAAUUUCACAUUUCACUAAGUGAUAAUAUCAAAUGAUUACUUACUUGACCAAUUUAGACAAUCUCUUCACUUAGGUGAUUAUGAUUUUGGUGAGUGAGAGUAGCUCAACAAACACUCAAAUGAGCAACUCAUACUAUAUUUUUACUUAAAUGAUCCUAAUUUCACUGAGUAGGAGUAUUAGAAGGUAUUGAGUAACAACUUUCUAUAUCAGAACUAAGAUAGUUUCAAAAAAUUUAACACACUUUAACUCUAAACAAAUUUUUUACUCCAACACAACAUUAUUUCUUACAAAAUACCACCAAUAAAUCUACUUGCAUUUUUUUUAAACUAAUUCAAAGAAUGGAUUUUCUAUUCAACAUGUAAAGGAAUAACAUUGAAUUCAACAUGCAAAAGAAGAACUCCCAACUUAACAUAUUAUUAUACUAAGUGCUCAAUAAUCGAUCAAACCCCUAUGAGUCUAAGGAUCAAAUUACAUUGCUAAAGUGUUAAGUGUUAGCAUAUGAGUGAUGUUUAAUUUACCAAUAACCAAAAUACUAUCCAAUAAAAAAAGUUAAAAAUUUACAAGUUAUAUUGAAAUUAUAAUCACAAAUAUUUUUUGUUUAGUUUGAUAAAUAUGAAAUUAUAUUAAUUUCACAAGUUUACAAGUUAUCAUGAUUUUAACUUCAAUAUAUCUUUUAACAUCUUUAGUUUAUUUUAAUAAAUUUAAUAAUCAAAAUUAUACUUAAUUCUCUCUCACAUGCUUCAAUGCAUAAAAGGUUUGGUGUUUAAUUAUUGGAUUGACAUUUCUUUUUGUCAUGUGCAAAUCUUGAUCCAAACUAGAUAUGAAAUUUAAAGGAGGUCAUGCAAACCCUAUUAUACAGUUCUAUUUUGUUUUUGUUAAUAGUCAUUUUGUCUUUUGAUAAUUAGGCAGACAAGAUUAUUUGAAUUAGGGUUUCUAAUUUUGCACCCUAUAAAUUUCAAGUUGUAUCCCCAUAUAAUUUUAUGUGACCCAUUUGUUCUUUUGAAAAUAAAUGUUCAAUGUGGGUGACAAUGCAUUGGUUUGGAGCAUUUAUAUGUUUCAUUCUUGUUGGUUGACCUGGCAACUGGUGAUGGCUGGCGAUGGUGCUAAUUUAGUGGAAGGGUGAUUGUUGCAGUAGUUUUAGUGAGUGUGUUUAUUUUUUGCAAUUUGAGUUCCAUAAUGUACAAUUUGAUUACCUUCCAAAUUAUACAUCCUACAAUGGUAGAAGUUGGUUUUGUACAUUCCAAAACAUAGAAUCUAGAACAUAAAACAUUUAUUUUGGAAUGUAGAAUCUGGAAUGCAUAUAUGUAUUUCGAAUUUUACGUUCCAUAAUAAAUAUUUGUAUCUUGGAUUCUAUUCCAAAACGUAGAAUCUGGAAUACAAAAUAUGCAUUUUGGAACAUAAAAUGUACUCUCCAGAUUUUAUGUUCUGGAAUACGUAUUUGUAUUUAACCUCAACGGUGGAGCAAAAUAUCGAACGAAGUUGAUAAGUUAUCUGAUAUAGAUGAGUCCAACAUAAUGAAGUCAGUGGCAUCUAAAGAUGAAUUGGUUGGGGGAGACUUCGUUCAACCAUUUACAACAUAGGAGGUAAGUGUAAUUUCAUUGAUACAAAAGUGUGACAUAUGAUAUUCUAAAAAUGUGUUGUAAUAAUACAUUCUAGAUUACACAUUCUUAAAUGUAUUUUUAGAUCGGGAACAUACAUUCUAAAAUGCACAAUCCAAAAUAUAAUAAUACAUUUGGGAAUAUACACUCGAGAUCUGAAAAUACAUUUCAAAUUACACAUUCUAGAAUAUCUUAUCAAAUUCAGAGUGUACAUUCCAAAAUUUCAAUAUAAAGUGUAAUACAUUCUAGAUUACACAUUCUAGAAUGUACACUUAAGAAGCACAAAUACAUUCAAAAAUUUACAACUAAAAUGUAUAUUUUAAGAACAACUUUAUCAUUUUACCUCCUCGUAAGGGUGUAAAAUGUGAAAUCCUUAUACAAUUUACUUUCUUGUUGGUCUUAUUACGAACCCAUCAACUUCCAGAAUAACUAAACCUACUUUAAAAUUGUGCAAGUAACAUAAGGUGUGAAUAUUUAAUGAAAUUGUUACAGAUUUUUUGAAAAAUUUAUACAAAAUGUCAUGGGUUUGACAUAAUUUUUUAUUUUAUUAAUUUAAUGGGUAUUUUUUUAGGUUAAAAUUUGUCAUUAUUGUAUUUUUUUUGUUAUUGAAAAUAUUUUUCACUACAACAAAGAUCACUUUAGAUAACACCAAUAAAACUAUGGCCUAAAAACCUAAACCCUAAAAGGAAUCAAACUCAGUACUAUAAAUAAACAUAAUACAUGUAUAAACAUUAUACUAGAUAAAUUUUGUUAUUACAUUGUGAUUAAUAUUAUUAUAUUAUUAUUAUUACUUUUUUUUAUUAUUAAUAAUAUUGUUAUUGUUAGUAUUAAUAUUAUUAAUGAUAAUAAUAAUAAUAUUAGUAAUAUUAACAUUAUUAUCAAUUUUAUUUUUAUUAUCAUUAAUAUUAACAUUAUCAUUAUUAAUAUUGUUAAUAAUAAUAAUAAUUUGAAUUUACUUUCUAACUGAUAUAAGGUUCAAAUCCUAACUCCAAGCAAAAUAAUAAUAAUAUCUAAAUUGAUAUCCUUUAACCAAAUUAUCUCUUAAACACGAAUACAUUUUUGCUCUUACUAAAAAAAAUAAUUUAAAUUUAAAUUUUAUAUUUGAGUAUGUGUUGGAGGAUGAAAACAAAGAAAAACAUAUUGUAUAUUUGAAAUCCAAAAGUAUAUUUUUUAGUUUAUUAAAUUUUGCCAAUAGAUUAAUUAAAUAUUUAAAAUAUCCAUAAUUUCAAAAAAUUGAAUAAAGUAACCAUGUUUUAAUAAUGAUUUCCUAUAUUAAAGAUAACUUUAAUUAAAUAUGGUUUAAAACACCCACAAUUAAAACCACUUUUUUAUUAUUUUAGACAUAUUUUUCAAUGUGUUUAUUUUAAAAGGUUAUGCCACAAAACGGUGGCUUAAACAUCCAUGACCCAAAAAAUGUUGUAUAUAAUGAUUUAUAAGCUGCAAUUAUAAAAAUGUUGCAUUUUUCACUUUUAGGCUAUAUUUGUGGCCAAUUUUAGACCAUGAUUUUAUUAUUUAGUCCACACAUUCUAAAGAUACCUCUUAAAAAAUGUGGUAUAAACACUUAAAACCGCUAUUUUUUCUAUGUUUAGACAACGGUCAUAUAAGGGUGGCCUAGUUAAGGGUUGCCUAAAAUAAAGAAUGAUGUAGCACUACAAGAAAAUCAUGAAAUAUGAACAAAUUUUAAACACAAAAAAUAAUUAGUUGUUAUAGCGACUAAAUUAGAUAUAAUUUUAGAGACUAAAAAAAAUUUUGGUUUCUAAAUUAGUUUCUAUUAUUGUUAAAUGGUUUCUAAAUUGGUAUCUAAUUAACUACCUAGGUUUUUGCUACCAAAUUUAAAAUCUAAAUAAUUGGUAGUUAAAACCUUGGUAGCUAAUUAAAUACCAAUUUAGAAACUAUUUAACAAUAAUAGAAACUAAUUUAGAAACCAAAAUAUUGUUUAGUUUCUAAAAUGAUCGAUAAUUUAGUCACUAUAGCAACUAAUUAUUUUUUGUCUAUAAAAUUGGUUUCUAUUUCAUGAUUUUCUUGUAGUGUAGUGUUUAUUUCUGACAUGGACUAACAUUAUUCUUUUCAAUUGAUAUUAGCUAAUAUUUUUUAAUUAUCAAUAAUAUAUUUUAGAAUAAUGAAAAAUAUAAAAUCUAUUGUUUUUAAACAUCAAUAAUAUUUUUUUUCCAACUAAUAGUAAUAUAUGUUACUUUUAGUUAAUGCAAGUAUUUCAACUAAUGUAAAUCAAAAUAUAAAUCAAAGUUAUCUCUCGAUAAAUAUAGAUAAAAUUAUUUUUUAGUCGAUACAAGUAUCAUAUUUUAUCAAUAAUAAUGAUUAUUUUUUAGUUAACCAUGUCUAUUUGAAAACAUAACAUAUAAAUUACGGUUUUGUGGACAACUAUCACCUAUAAUGACCACUAUAGACUAUGGUUUUUUAGGCAAUUAUCGCUUAUACAUGUGUCUACCAUAUAAACUACGGUUAUUAGGUCAUAACCGUCAUUUAUAAGCUUCUUUUUUUUCACUCCAAAUCUUUCCAUCUUCGCACUUUUUCCUCUGUUGCUUCCAUUGUUGUCUUCUCUAUGAGUUGUCCUUGUUGUCAUUUCUCUUAUUCCUUGUAAUUUGUCUUCCUUAUUGUUUUUUAUGUUGUUUAUCAUACUUUUUGUGUUUUCUUGAUGGGGUUUUCUCCAUUUUCAGUGUUAAACGAGUGAGUUCCCAAAUCCGAAAUUGUUGCUUGUGUUCUCCUUGUCGUUGUUGUUGUGCGUCACCGCUGAAGCUCUUGAGAUCCUCUACAAUAUCUGUUCAUUUACCACAAUCUAUCUUUGUUCACCAUCUUGAGUUUCUGCAACCCGAAAGUCACUCUCGAAAAUUUCUCGACAUCAAAAUUGGUGGUUAUUUUUUUAUCUUCUUGACUUUCUUUUCUUCGUCCCACAUACAAUACCAAUUGUUAGGUUAUCAACAAUAACAAAAACAAGAAAAAUAAGAACAAGAUUGAAGAAAACAUUUUAGGAUCACCUACGCUAUAUGUGACGGUUCUGUACAUAAGUAUCGUCUAUAAUGAUCUAAUAGACUAUGAUUGUGUGAUCGUAUAUAAUUAAAAACUAUAGACGAUAUGUGCAUAGACUACAAGUCUAAAAUUGUCAUCUAAAGCCUUUAAAAAUCAUUGUCUAAAGAUAUUUUUACAGUAAUGUAUAGGUAAAAAAAAAUUAAUUUACAUUAAUAUGAAUUAUUUUCUUGUUGAGAUUAUUUAUCCGUCAAUAUACAUCAUAACACUAUUUAUCUUUCAAUGUUUGUUAGAUUUUCCUCAACUAAUGUCUGAGAGGUAAUAUUUUUAGUAAACAUGGACUAAUUGAUAAGUGUCAAUGUGUAGUUUUUAUGAUUGAGAAAAUUGAACACUUUGAAACUUAAUUGUUGUUUAAUGUAAGAAAAUUACCCUAAUCUGAGAAUUAUUGAAUCUGAUUAUGUAUUUUGAACCAAGAAAUAAAUGAAGAAAUUUAAUCUCAAUUUUUAUGUAAAUUGCAGAUGAAUAUGAAGCAUUAAAAGAAAGAAAGCAAAAACUUAAUUGGAUCACCAGAAUAUUUAGCUCAAGCUAGAGGAUUUAGCUCAAGCUAAAACUGUUCAGAUUUGAUUAAAGGUGCAGUACUAAUCUAGCUCAGGCUAUAAUUGCUAGCUCAAGCUAAAAAUGCACCGAAAGAUCUAGCUUAAGCUAAAUUGGCUAGCUUGAGCUAAAGUUCAUUAUAUAAAUUUUGAAACACAACUCUAAAGGAAGCGGUGGAAAAAGAUUGGGUUUUUAUAUAGAGAGAGAUUAGUGAGAGAAAGAGAAGAAACCUCUGUUCUUAGGAGAAGAACUUGCUCAGAUCAACCCUUCUUAUGCAAUCCAGAUCAAGAAUGAAGAUUGAAGGAGCUGUCAUGAGUGGCUAAGUUCUUUCUAACUUGGGAUUGAAUGUAAUUUACCUUGAUCAAAUGUAUUUUUGGUGAUAUAUUAUAUAAUAUUAUCUUGGUAUUUUCGUUUUAUGCUUAUUGCUUGAUUUUGUCUAAUCAAUAGAGUCUUGAUUUUGAUCCUUAAAUUUAACUGGAAAGUACCUUUAAGGAUCUGAAAUAGACGAAAAUACUUGAUAACUUGUAAUGCUAGGAAUAAAUUUCAGGUUAUUAAUUGCAUCAUAAUUAUGUUCAUAAAGUUGGAUGAUUUGUUAGAUAUCUGAGGAAUCAGUAUUUGAAAAAUUAUCUUAUGAAUUUCAUAUGUCAGGAAUCAAGGUGAAUGACUUUUUAAAUUAAUAAGCAUUAAGAAUAAGUAGUUUUGAGUAUUAUAUAUUGUAUUAUUCAAAAUACAGAUGAUUGAGAUAGACGCAAUUCAAUCCCAAGUAUCUUUCUCUAUAUUUGAUAAGUUAGUUUUGGUUUUGGUUGAAUCAAACCCUAACUCUCCGAGUUAUUUGUGAAAUCUUUAAUUUGGUUAUGAACAAAGUCUUAAAAUUAUUUUCUAUACUUAAUGAGUUUUACAACAUAACAUCUUAAUUAGAAUUGUUCUCUGUGGGUUCAACAUUCGUACUUUAAAGAGUACUAUAUUACAGUUGAUUCGAUACAUUUGCCGAGAAAAAUAUCAACACUAACACUACAAGAAAAUAAUUAAAUAGAAACUAAUUUUAGAGAGAAAAAGUGACUAAACUAGAUAUUAUUUUAAAGACUAAAAAAAUCAUUGGUUUCUAAAUUAGUUUCUAUUAGUGAUAAAUAGUUUAUAAAUUGGUAUCUAAUUAGCUACAAAGAUUUUUGCUACCAAAUUUAGAAUCUAAAUAGUUGAUAAUUAAAACCUUGAUAGCUAAUUAGAUACCAAUUUAGAAACUAUUUAUUAAUAAUAGAAACUAAUUUAGAAACCAAUUUAGUUUCUAAAAUGAUAUCUAAUUUAGGUUCUAUAGCAACUAAUUAUUUUUUUUCUCUAAAAUUGGUUUUUAUUUAAUAAUUUUUUUUAGUGUAAAUGUUUUUAGUUGAAACUUUGUCGUAUUUAGUUUUUUAAAUUUUUGUCCAUAUUUACAGUUCAAAUAGUAGUUUUUAUAUUUGGUGACAAUUGAAAUACUCCAUUCAAUCUGAAAAUUUUAAAAUUAUUAAAUUAUUUUAUCAAAUAAAAUAUUUAAAAAUUUAAACAAUUUUAAAUAAAAUAAAAAAAUAGGUAAAUGUAUUUCAAAUUUCUGGUACAAAUUUCUCAUUCCAUAGAUAUCUUUACAUAUUAUAACUAUUUUUAACAAAGUAUCAACAUAAUAUUUGUAUUGGUUUGGGAUUUAAGUAAAGAAUUGUGUUAUUUCAUUGUACUACCAAAGAACAAACACUAAAAAAAAAAAUCACGAAAUAAAAACCAAUUUUUAGCAUUUUAGAAACUAAAAAAAAUUGGUUUUUAAAUUAGUUUCUAAUAUUGUGAAAUAGUUUCUAAAUUGGUAUCUAAUUAGCAACCAAUGUUUUAACUACCAAUUAUUUAGAUUCUAAAUUUGGUAGCAAAAACCUUAGUUGCUAAUUAGAUACCAAUUUAGAAACUAUUUCACAAUAAUAGAAACUAAUUUAGAAACCAAAUUUUUUUAGUCCCUAAAAUUGUCUUCAACUUAAUCACUAUUGCAACUAAUUAUUUUGGUUUCUAAAAAUUGAUUUCUAUUUCAUGAUUUUCUUAUAGUGAAAGUGUAUAUUGUGUAUUUCUUUUGGAUGAUUUGAAUCAGAAUCUUUCUCUUGUAUCUGACUUCAAAUUUUUUAAGCUUGUCACAACUUCUAUUUGCCUAAGUCGAGUUGUUCUUAAGGCAAUUUUUAAGAAAAAAAAAGUAUUAACUUGAUCUUAAAGUUGAUCAUCUCACAAACUUAAAAGUUUACCAUAGAUACACAAGUUUUAGAAUCAUGGAACUUGUUAAGAAGUGAACUCAACCUUAUAACUCGCUCACGCCAAAAUCCUCCAAAUUCGAGUGAUUCGAUAGCGGCUCAAUAGCGAGUGGUAUGAUAAUGUCAAUAAACUCUACUUAUGAUAAAGUUUAGAUGACUCUGAUAAUAUAUUUAAAAGUGGACUUUAAGUUUAACUAAAGCUUAUCAAACUGACUUAAGUGAGGUUCGCAAUUACUUAUAUAUUAUGAAUUAUCCUAAUUUCUAUUUGAUGUAUUAGAACUUGAGGUUGAUGUUAUUCAUUGAAAGAGGGGACAUUUUUUUUCCUGGUAUAUAUAGAUAACUCAUUCCUCUUUAUUCAAGCCACACACACAAAUCAUAAGAAAAAAAAUUCAUGGUUAUUAUAUAUGUCAUAAUGCCAGCGAAUAUAUUGUAUCAACACAACUGAAUUAAUCUCAGCCUCCUUUUUUCUUCUCGGAUAAGUACAUACAUAGAUACAUAUAGUGUUUUCAUUAUCAUCAUGCAGAACAGCCUAACAGAAGACAAAAUAAGAUGAAAUACAGUGGAAUUGUGGAAAGCAUGAAGAAGAAAAAGACUUUUGGAACUCAAUGGCUGCCUUGCUCAAUAUGUGUAUAUAUGGCAGGUUCAGUUCCUAAGCUUUUGCAGCUACUGGAGUCUCAGCCCUGCUGGCUAUUAUCUGUUCAUAUAGAUCUCUUAUCUUCAAACCAACUAUGGUUUGGAAGAGACCUGUCCCAUUGUUGCUGCCGGGGAAAUCAGCAUGCUUCAACAUCUGCUGAGUAACCUCUCCAUAGAACUUGGUAGAGAGGUUGCUUAGGUGACUCUCAACAUAUAUUAGUUCAUCUAAUCUGUCAAAUUGUCCAUCCAUUUCUACAAUUGACACCUGUUGCACACAAAUGGAAACAAAAACAAGUUAUGUUCCAUUAUCUAGUGGACUUUGUUCAAAUUGUAAGCACUUACUUAAGACAGAUUUGACAAUCUUAUGUUAUAUGUACUGUUUAAUUAAACUAGCUCAUAGAAGUCAUUCUUUUUAAACAGUUUUGGAAUUAGAAUUGAAGCUUUAUUAAGAUAAAAUUUCAUUUUCAAUUAGAAAAAACUCUAAAAGUUCAAAAGCAAAAUUGUAUAUAACUCUUUGAAUGUGUACCAAAAGGGGUUUCAAGCCAAAGAAAUAUAUGGAUAGUAUUGGUUGGAACAUACCUCAUUUCCGUAGUAAGUGUCUGGUCCAUAGGAGAAUUUGAUGCCAGGGUAGGAGCAUGUAAGCUUCCUUCCACAUGGUAUCCAUGAAAUGGUAGAGCCAUCAUCAAACAAGUAGACUGGACUGAAGUUCUUAACUCCCUCUUUCUGUAUCAACCUCACUCUUAAAAUCUUACCCUCAUUGUCAUCUGGAAUAAGUUGAGUUGGCAACACUUCUAUCACAGCAUCUGCAUAUUGCUUUUGUGGAUCUGUGAACAACAAGUGUAGAGGUUAACUUAUACAUCACCAUCAAUAACAAACAUUAACACAAUUAUUGAGUAUGAAAAAAAGAAGUUUGUGUUAUUAUUGUUUGUGAUGAGCUUUUAUAUAUCCAUGAGUUGGAAUCUUAAUUUAUUACCAAUGUAUGCUUCAAAAUCAGGCUUUCUUGCUUCAAUGCUAGCCUUGAUGCUUUCAAGACUAUGUCCACGCUCUGCCAUGUCUCUCUAAAAACAUUUGCAAAAUAAUGGUUAGUUCAUAGUAAUGGAAAGAAUAUAAAACCUAUUGAAUCAUAUUAUGUGUUUAAUUACCUGAAUUUUCCAAGCGAAUUUCACCUCAUUGCUAAUGUCUAGGUAGAUGCUAAAGUCCAAGAGGUCUCUGACACGGGAAUCAAACCUGCAUGCAAGGAGGAGUAUCAUACUCACAAUCAAAUAAACUGAUAAAAUGCAAGACAAUUAGUGGUUUAUUCAACUUGUUUCAAAGACAACACUGUUUGUUUUUAUUAGAUUUGAGAAACAUGAUCACCAGCAUGCACUACUAAGAGUUAUAUUUAUAUAUAUAUAUAUAUAUAUGCUCUUAUAACCUUUCCUGCAAAACAGAUAAAUAAGAAGAAGAAGAAAAACUGAUGAAAAGUAUAAGAAGAUUAUCAUCUACAUGGGAAAAAGGUAUAUAAUAAAAUAUUAUAUGACUAGGGAGAGAAACAUGUGCAAGCCGUUAUAAAAGAUGAAAGAGAAAACGCAGAGAAGAUUGUUUAUUAAAAUGAUUAAGAAACUUAGCCAUAUUAGCGGAAAGGUUCAGUACGUAAUGUCAUGUGUUAAUCGAUUAUUUUAUUUCCCUUUUUUAUGUAAACUUCAAAUAUAUAAUUAUGGUUUUUUUUCACACUCUUUGAGUGUGAAACGGGUAAAAAGAAGAAAGAUAAAAAAGAAAAAGUGAAAAAUGUACCAUGUCAUGAAGAAAGAGAAUAGAAAUUAAAAAAAAAACUAUGAAGAAAUCAUCUAAUAUUUGAUAAGCCUAGUUCAGAACUAUGAGAGUAUCAAAGUGAAGAAGAUUAGAGUAAUAGUGAAUAGUAUCAGAAAAAGAUAAACAAUGAGUAGUAUCAAAAAAGAGCAACAGUGGAUCCAUGUUGGCCCACCAUGUACAUGGGAAGAUUGGAAAGUCAGUAGCAAAUUCCUCAGCCAUACAAUCAAAGAAAGAUAGAUAAGGUAUAUCAGCUUAACGACUCGUGUCACAUUUAAUUCCACACUUCACAACCCCUUUGAAUUACAAAAGAAAAAAGUUAGAGAAUUUCAAACACCCCCUCUACCCUGCUUCUGAAGAUUCACCAAGCAAUACAAUUAAUUAACCAUUAAUCAGGUUUCAAUUCAAGACUAAUAAAACUUAAAUUGUUAGUGACUGAAGUUUCCUGAAAAACUAAGUAAAAGAAACAUUAGUUUAGUGAAAUACUCCUAUGAUGACCUUACUCAACAAUGAGAAAGUGAGAUGAGUAUAUAUACUUACAUUGGGUGCAAACCUUCAAUGACUAAGAUUUUGGGAGGUUUAAUGAGUUCAGGGGGAUCCAAGAGACCAGUGACAUGGUUGUAGAUUGGCUUUUCAACAGAAAUUCCAUCCUUGAUUGCUUUAACUUGCUCAUACAUGAGAUCAAAAUCGUUGGCUCUUGGGUCAAGGGCAGUGACUCCCUUCUCCUUUCUGCCAGUUCUAUCCAAUGAGUGGUAAUCAUCCAAGCAUAUGACUGUGGUGGUGUCACUGAUGAGAGUGUUGGAAUCAGGGUUCCCACCCUUUGGUGGUUCUGCUGCUCCUCCAAACACACUGGUCAGCCUCCUCAUGAAGGUACUCUUUCCACACCCUGAGUCAGCUGCCAGACCUAUCACCACUGUCUGUUGGUCACUUGCUGCACAUGUUAUCACAUAGCUUCUGCCACUGUUGCUGCCCCUCUUGCUGUUCCUUCUGCCUGUGGUGUAGAAUACUACCUGCUUUUGGUGAAAACUGAAUUGUGUUUUUGAUGGGGUUGAGAUGGAGCAAUUUGUGCUCAGAGAUUGUGUUGAGUACACAGUGCAAGCUGCCAUUCUCUCUCCCUCUAGAGAAUUUUCAGGGAAGAGAUGUUGAAGUGGCCUUUGUUCAAGGGUUAUUAAGGAAGUUACAUUCCAAGAAGAAGUUUGGAACACAUAUAAAAUAUGAGGUGGAACUAAAACCAAAACAAAAGGCAGUUAAGCAGGAAAACAAAAAAAAAGGUAUCUUCCUGUUUGAGUUUCUGUGACUACCCCUUGUCUUGGACAAGCUUUGAAGUAAUUCUGAAUGAUAUAAAAGCUAAUGCUCAAUCAAAACAAUCAGCAACAAAAGGAUAUAGUUGUCUUUCUAUAUUUUCCAAUAAGCAACACCAGAUUUUUUUGCUUUAUUUUGAGUUAUUAAAAAAUGGAGAAUUUGAUGAGAUUAUGACAUACAUGAAUGAAUAAAUUUAAGAAAGAUGGAAGGCUGGUUUCAGCUGAGUGGCUGAUGCAGCUUGGAUAUUUGAUAUGACAAGUGGCAUGAGUUUAGUGGCUGUUUGGAGAUGAGGGAUCAGAGGUGUAGAAUGAAGUAGAUUUCAAGAGGAGAGUAUGCCAUCCAAUUCUAUCUUGGUCUCUUGGUCUCUACUAGUCCUUGGAGUGUGUGUGUGUUUGCAAAUGUACCUUUUUCCCUUUCUUAUUUUAGAUUAGCAAAACAAGUAUGCAUGAAUUGUGAAGCCUUGCUGUUAAAACUUGGAGGAGGACCACAUUUCUUCCUUUCAACAAUCUCACUAUAAGAUGUGGUUAGGUGGUGUGGUAACAAAGCAUAUGAUAUGCACGAAACCAAAAAAAAGGUGAAAUUUAACUUGAUAGCCAUUUUAAGAACCACAUGCUCAAAUCAAUAUUCUGCUAACACAUAUCAGUAAUAUGUGUGAUGUGUGUUUCUCAUGGUUCUGCUACCUCGUGGCCAUUCUAUAUAUCACAGAGGUGAAUUACUUACUAUCAAUCACUUGUUUAAUUAAGUUUUAAGAAAGUUACAAAUUUAAGUACUUUUAAUUAAGCAUGUAUUAAAUUUUUAAUUAAUUAAUUAAUUUAUUUAUUUAAGUAUGUGCUUGAUCGAUUUUACAUUUCUUUCAAUUCUCUAUCUCCAACACGUUGAAUUACUUACUCUUGAAAAUGAGUCAAAAAAAGAAGUUGACCAGCAGAAGAAAUUAAUUGAUGAGUUAACAAGAAGAAAACAUAAGUAACUGUUAUAUCAAUAAGAUGGUAGGUAGUUAGAUAAAAAAUAAUAAUUAAAAGAAUGAGAUUAUAUAAUUAAUUUUUUGUGGGCAUUUAACGUGUAGAAUUAAUACUACAGUUUAAUUCAAGUUAGAAUAGCAAAUAGUUUAGAGUCCUAAUUAUCCUUGUAGAAAUCAAUAUAAUGACGCUACAAGAAAAUCAUGAAAUAAAAAUUAAUUUUAGAGAAAAAAAUAAUAAUUGUUUUAGUGACUAAAUUAGAGAAUAUUUUAGGGACUAAAUAAAUUUUGGGUUUCUAAAUUAGUUUCUAUUAUUGUUAAAUGAUAUCUAAAGUGAUAUUUAAUUAGCAACUAAGAUUUUUGCUACCAAAUUUAGAAAUUAAAUAAUUAGUAGUUAAAACCUUGUAGCUAAUUAGAUGUUAAUUUAGAAACUAUUUAACCAUAAUAGAAACUAAUUUAAAAACCAAUUUUUUUUAGUUUCUAAAAUGGUCUGUAAUGUAGUUACUAUUGUAACUAAUUACUUUGAUUUCUAAAAAUUGGUUUCUAUUUGAUGAUUUUCUUGUAGGGUAGAAGUUUCGAGGAUGUGAUCGAUAUUCUAAAAAUCAAUCUUCACUAGUAUUUUGAUAUUUUUAACUAAUUCUAACAAUUGUUGAGAGAAGCUUAAUAGAUCAGACACAUUAAUUAAAUCAAAAGACUAAAAUUCACCAUAGGACAAGAUUUUAUUUUUAUUAGACUCUAAUAUCAUAUAAAGAGAUAGACUCUAAAUUUAACUAAACCUUAUAAAAUUAACNNNNNNNNNNNNNNNNNNNNNNNNNNNNNNNNNNNNNNNNNNNNNNNNNNNNNNNNNNNNNNNNNNNNNNNNNNNNNNNNNNNNNNNNNNNNNNNNNNNNGACUUUAAAAACUUUAAGAAGGGAUCUUGGUCAUUUGCACACGGACGCUGAAGCUUGCAUGCUUUGGUCCUUUUACGACAUUCCGAUGGAAGUCAAUUUGGUUUACCCAAGAGCAAAAAUAUUAUAUAUUUUAUAAAGACUUGGGAAACCUUUUUUUGUCGCUGUACUUGCAUCUAAUUAAAAUUUAAGAGUUUGUGCUCAACUUUUACUUUUGAAUUGUUUACAGUGCAAGGUUUAGAAUGAUUCGAAGUUCAGAAGUACGUCACAGAUUUAAAAAACAUUUUACACUGAUCUACGUACACAAAACCAUUGUCGUCUUCUACCACAAGAAAAUGGUUUGAGCAUAACAGUGUAUAUAUAGUAUGCAAUGUUUGGUAGGAGAAGUAACAUUCAGGAGCAUUAGCUACAAAUAAUAUGUUUGGACUUUCCCAGGGAGAAUAUUAAAUGUUGAAUAUCUAAAUAAGUGUUUAUUAAUCGACAACAUCAUCGUUUUCAAGGUGAUAACAACAGUGUAUAGUUUGAAGUAAAACGGAAAUGUCAUUUUAACGAAAUUUGAGUUGAGAAUUUCUUUUUUAAUUUUGAAGUAUCUGAAUCUCUAUUUAGUGUAAAUUGUUUAUAUGCACUUCAAUGUCUGUUUUUUUUUGUUAGUAUUAAUAAAGGUCUAUGUGAAAAAAAAUAAAGGCAAUUUUCGUCAUUGUUAAAAGAAAAAAGAUAUUUACAAAUAAUCUUCCUAGGUGAUCUGAAUAAAUGAAACUUACAAAUAAUAUACAAUAGAAAAUCAUAAAAAUCAAAUAGUAAUAUACAAUAUCUUUUACAAAUAAUCUCAAAAACUCUCAAAUUAUACAGUGCAGAAUUUUUUUUAUGAACAAAUAACUUUUAGAUGGUAUAAUCUAAAAGUUUUAUUUUGGGUUUGUGAAUUUUUUCAUAACUAGAAAAACAAAAUAGAAAUUUUAAUAUUUAUAAAGGAACAAAUUGAAAUUAUAAGGUGCAAAAAGAAAUCCCCAGCUUUCUUGCUUAUUCAGUUUUUACCGGUACAGACUAUUUUAUUAUGGUAGUUUGCAUAAAAAUAAUUUGUAAAAUGAACAACAUGAAAUGGAUUUAUAAUUAAAUAUUGAGAAACAAAAUUCUAAAUAGAAUUUGAUCACGGUAAUACUCACCCUACUAUAAUGGUAAAAACUAAAACAAUAAUUUUAGUAACAAAAAACAUUUGUCGAACAAAACAUGGAUGAAUUUAAAGAGCAGACAAGUGAAGGUUUUAAUAAACAUGUAACAGUUUAUAGCUAGCAAUAGGAAGGUAUAUAAGCAUGCUGAUAAGAAUCCAACUACUUGCUGUGUAUUGCUAGCCAUGUUAUACCCAAACACACCAUUAGUGGUACGAAAGUGAAAACAGAUACUGCGAUCACUUCAGUAAUCUUACAGCUAUAGAAACCAUUAAUAACGGACAAUUCGUAAUAUGUGAGUGCUUUUUCCUUUUUAAUGGAGGGCUAUCAUUUUCAUGGCGCUUGUGAAAUUUCUUUCUGCAACUCCUUAAUUUUGUCUGCACCCCAUAAUUAUUGAGUCCAAAAACACUCCAUAAUUAUUGAAUACUUAACACUUGUAUAUAUGCAUUCUGAUUUUAUAAUUAAGUCACUUUCUGAAUUCAGAAAUAAUUUCUUAGAAAAAGUUAUAAUAGCUUUCAAAUUCUAAAAUUUUGAAGUUGAAUUCUGAAUUAUAAAAUUUGAUUAGAAUUUUUUUAAUUUCAAAUGUAGAAUUCGAAAAGGCAGAUGUAUGUUAUACAGAAAAUUUUACAAUUAAAAAUAUAAAUUCAACUUUUAAAAUUUUAUAAUUCAAAGAAUAUUUUUUAAAUUUAAAAAUAACUCUUAAAUUAUAGGACUCAGAAGCUAAUUUUUAUAAGUAUUAACAUAACUUCCGAAUUCUAUAAUGUAAAAUACAAAUUUACCUUUCAAGCUAUAUUAAACAUCUAUUCCACAUUUCUUGGACUAUUUUCUGUCAAAUUCAUAUUAAUUUUGUUCUCUUUAUCUUUGUAGCUUACUGUCUCUAUUGGUUCAUAUUGUAAAACAUUUUACCUGGUUCAUGCCAUCAAAACCAUCAAAGAUGGUUUUUUCCACAAGUUCUCCCACAAAAGAGUUCACGACUGCUCUCAUUCAACGAAAAAACUUAGGGGAGUGCAGGGACUUGGGAAUAUUUUUUUAUUACAUUGAUGAUAAAAUAGAUUUUUCACCUAAAGUAUGGAAGUGCAUGAAGAGAUGACAGAGGAAGAAAUGAUAGAAGUGCAGGAAUACAACUACGGUAAUACUUCACAGGAAAUUCCCUACAUAUCUAGCUAUCGAAAUUAAAUUCUCUUUUUCACUGGAGGGAAAUACAUUACACAGUAUAGUACAAGCUAAACCCUGGUACGGUCACUACAAAGAACACGACCAAUAUCACACACGAAGAUAUUGUAUGAGAAAAAUAAGAGGAUACACAAAAAGAAUAUGCUAAGCCACACUGGGAAGUGACAGACACUAUCAAAGCCGUCGGAUCAAAAUCCUGAGAACAGUCUCACUUAUGCCCCCGGAAAUACAUGUAUAUUUUCUGCACACAAACGAAAAGGAAACAACCAUGUUAUACACACUUCAUGGGCAAGUCAAUGAAGCUGAAGUAAAAAUAUGCAGAAAAAGAAGUUACUACUGUCUUUAGCUAAUUGUUGGCAUAGUCCCUAGUUAUAGCCAGAGAUCGCAGUUAAAAGAAAUAAAAAUUGUAACCCCCCCAAUGUUUCAAAACCAGACUAGAUGAACAAACAGAGGUUAACCAUUUUAUAUUCCAGUUUGGUUUUAAGUAUAUCCCCAAAUCUCGUUAUUUUCCCCUCAUUAGGAGUUCUUAAAUUCUCCUUUUAGAACACCAUGAUAAUCAAACUACACAUUUAUACUCCCUCAAUCCAUCCUUUUGAUAGCUCUUGUAUUCAAUCGAGUACAAAAUAUGAAUUCAUCUUAGAACAUGGAGAUCAAAAUUUUGAACCAGUGAAUAGAACUAAAAUCAUAACUAAUACUCUUUUCACCAACAGCCCCCAUACCCACCACCCAAAGUCACACUGAACAAGGCCACACACACCCCAACCAAACUAAACAAGGCCAUUCCAGUCAUCUAUCAUUUAUUUAGCAAUAACAAAAGUAAAUGCCCACACUACUUUUUAUAAAUUAAUGAAAUUAUUUAAACACAUUUUAUAUCUGCAUAAUAUAACAUUUUCAAAGCAUAUCUAUAUUUUAUUAUUGAAUAAAUAACUUUAGUUAUAAUAGGAUAGUUCAAUUGAUAUAAUUAAUAUCUCUAAAAAAGUUGAAGAAAAAUGAAUAAACAAUUAAUUUAUAUACUUUCACUAAAAAAAUUAAUUACAAACUAUUUCUUCACUAAAAUAAAAAAAAUUUAAUUGCCUAGUAACCUUUCAUUCAUUUUUACCUUGUAAGAGAUUUGAGCUUUAUAGGAAAAUAUAAUUGUUGUUUACAUACUGAGAUAAAUAUUUCAAGACAAUAUUUCUCCCUAUUUGAUGGAGAGUCUAUAGACACAACACAGCCAUGAGACUAACCAAUAAUAAUGGUUCUCUGUGAUGAUUGAUUUCUUGACAUUCAAAGUAAGUUAUAUAUAAAGUUAUAGUUCACUUUCACUACAAUCAGUCACUCUUGGAUAGAUAAUAUAACAAUAAUGACGAUAAAAACAUUUUAUUAAAAAUGAUUAUAUAUUCAAAUAUAUAUAUUUUAUUUUAAAAAUUAAUAUCUACAUUUUUAGGAGAAAAUAUUUAUACAUAAACUAAUCAAAUUAAGUGAACAUAAUUUCUUUAAGUAAUUGAUUAAGAAUAUUUAGAUUGUAUCACCAAUAUUCUUCAAUACUUGAUAUCUCCUACAAAUAUAAUAACUGACUUUGAUUCUUGAGUUAAGAACCAUCAGAAAUCAGCAACUCACUAUUGAUAUUGAUAAGUAUUACAUACAAUUUACAAAUAAAUAAUAUAUAAAAAAUAUGUAUUUGCUAACAUAAAUCAUGUAUGUGUUUUUUUCCUGAUAUAUUAGUCCCUUUUCAGUAAAAGGGCACUUUUAUUAUCAUCAUUCUUAAUAUCCUUCGACCUCAACUUUCUUGUAUACAUUGAGAAAAUUCAAGUAAAGUUUGAUUAAAAUGCAAGAUGAGUAUACAACAUUGAUUUUGAAAGUGACAUCACCUUUACUAUUGAUUAAAUUUCACAUUCAAACGUCUGUUUUAAAUUAAAAAUGGAGAGCAAAUUACUAACGUAAUUUUACUUACUAUUUCAACAUCAUUAAUUUUAUAAAAAUAAAUAAAUUUUAUCAAUGCAACCUCUGAAUUAUAAUUAUUUAUCAAUUUAUAAAAAUUGAAGAAUAAAAUAGUAAUCAAAUAGUCCACAAUUUAAUAUAUUUAAAAAUACAAUUUAAUAAUUUAAAAAAUAUGUGUAUGUGUGUGUGUGUGUGUGUGUAUAUAUAUAUAUAUAUAUAUAUAUAUAUAUAUUGCAUCAAUUUUGUUUUGAGUGAAGUAUUACAUAGUAUAGGAUUAAUACAAGUUUUAGUCUACAUGUGAAGAAACUUUCAAUCUAAUAAUAAGUUUAAGUUUAAGAGAACAUGAUUUAGUUGCAAGUUAUUUAAGACUACUAAAUUUUGAUUAAUUCUUAGCUUGAAAAAUACGAGAGCAUGAAACAUGUAUUAUAAUAUAAAGGAAUAUAUUUUAAAUUAUAUAAUAUUAAAUUUAAAAUGCAUGUAAAAAUCAACGUGCCACGGUACUAGUUCAUCAUCUAAAGCAACCAACUCUCCAAAAAAAUAGUCCGAAGAUUUUGAUUUCCAUUAUCUAGCCCAUUUCUUAAGAAUAGAAAAAAAGAAAAAGAAUUCAAAUCAGUGAAGAUGUCCCUAACCUGAAGUACCCAUAAGCUUAGAAGAGCCUCCAAGCAAAACAGACCGAAUCCAAUCAAAUAGAAAAUCUGCAAGAUUACAAAACAAACAUUGAUUGCAUCAAACAAGCACAGAGAAAAAGGAUAAGAAACUUGAUUUUUCCUACAUUGUAGACCAGACAUUCAAAAUAUCAAAGGGAUAGGAUUUUUCAUUUUUCCGGCUACUUCAACAAGUUGAUAAAUGCGACCAAAUGUUUUUCCACCUGCCCUUUGAUAGUUCACGGCAUCUAAACUGUUGUGUGAAAACAUAAUACAACAGCAAGCGCAGAUUUUACCAAGUCUUACUGAAGCUGAGCAGCACUCAAUCUAUUUCAGUAAAUAUCCAAUUCCCGCAAAUUUUACAUCCUGGUCCUCAUUACUUCAAUAUUCUCCGACUCCACGUGACACUUAGUGCCAUUAAAUUGUACACGAGAUCAUAAUUCUAAGGGAAGAAGGCGUAUUCAACUUGAGAAGUUUAAUAGCCUUCAUGUAUAUUUACUUAAUAUUACGCAUAUGUAAAUGCCUAAUAUUAAAAUUUGGUAAGCAAAUAUUCCUUUCGGUAAAAGAAAUGAGCAAUGCAUGAAUAGAGAUGUUUCUAAUCAUUAUACAAAAUAUAAUUUGAACAAAACACUUACCAUAUAUAUCAAUUGCAACCUUAGAAAAUAAAAUGCUCAUGGCUCAUUAAUAUUAAGUUAUGAUAUUCUAAAACAUAGCUAACAAUUUCACCCACCAAGAAAAAUAGUUGCCAAAAUGUGUACAUAAAAUACAACUUACCCCAACCAAUACAUGGUCUGAGAAGACAUCAAUUGCAGCAAGGAUGCCCCUGCAAUUUUAAAUGAAUUAAUUCAAAUGUACCUAAAAAGAAAUAUAUUCGUGUAUAAUUUUAAUACAAUUACUAAAACAUACGACUAAGGAAAAGGGUGACAGAAGAAAACUUUUUGAUAAAUUUAUGAAGAAUUUGAUCCUUUUUAGAGCCCAGCAGUUUUUUCUUCCCCACUUCAAUUUGAAUGAUAUUACAAAAUCCCAAUAAACAUAUAAAAACACUAUGAUGUUCCAUUGCUUGCCUACAUAAUGGAAAAAGUGGUCCAAACCUCCAUAGAACUUACAAGAUCCUAUUACACUCAUGAGCCGUAUAAGGGCAUUUCUUCCAAAUAAGCUGAAAAAAAACUUUUGAUUUCAAAACAUCCAAUUUUAGCAAACUUCCUCCAUCAUACAAAGAAAGAGUCUAUGACUAGUACAAACCAGUGAAGUCUUGGAACACAAGUUUUUAAAAUUUCCCUCCUUGGCAUGUGACUUGGCUUUUAAACCAUACUUUAUUCAAAAAGUACACACACCCAAUAGCAACCAGAUAAAAGAAAAAAAAAACUUCAUGAAUUCAAGUGAACUGCGUAAUACAAUUUGUAGGACUUACGUCAAUGAUUUUCCAUGAAAAACAACUGGAGGCGCGAUUGCAGCAAAUAUGCAAAAUGCAAUAUGAAGCUGCAUCAAGCCAAAAUAAUAAAAGAAUUAAUAAGACACAAAAUCGGUAGUGUGAAGCAAGUAUAGUGUAAUAUAGAUUAACAUACCAAGUAAAGCAUGAAAAACCAACCAAACUUCAGUGCACUAUCCGUCCUGCAUAUCAGAGAUAAUCAUGAUCAAGAACCAUUGCGCACAAUCAACAGCUCAUUCUAGUCAGAUUAUUUGAGAGAAAUAAUCCCUUUUUUAAUACCAGCGGCAUCCAGAGACAGAUUUUAAAAACAAAGCAAUUAUAUCCCGGGAAAUCAAUUUUUCACAAAAACACACUAAAUUAUGAUGUCUCUCUUUGCCUUUAACAACAACUGUACUACACCUAAACCGUUUAGUGCUUAGGUGGUGCUAAUAUGCUUGUCAAGAUAAGGACUAAGAAGGAACAACACAGCUUACCUCAUAGCACGAUAGAGAGGUCUGUACCAAAGAACAUACGAAAGGGGAACACCAAGUAGAGCAUAUAUCACCGCAAGGAAAAAAAUUUUAACACCUGUACAUUGUAAGCUUCGCAUUAAGGUCCAAAUCACAUCAAUAAACUAGAUAGUUAUAACCAUUCCAAGUUUAGAAGAAUGAGCUUACCGCCGCCUCUGAUCCAACAGACAGUUACAGCUACUACAUUAAAAACUAGGCAGAGAACAAUUCCUGCCAAGAUACCACAUAAUAAAUGGAAGAAAAAUAAUUAGAUACAUAUAAGUAUAAAGGAGUGGAGGAGGGGAGGACGUGGAAAAAAAAUAAGGAAUCAUACAGGGGAUGUUUGUGUUAAUUGUGUCUAUAUGAAGUUAAAAGUGUCUAUAAACAAGGAAUGAAUUUAAAAAAUUAUUAAUGAAGCUCUGGAUGAUCGCAAUACAAAACACUGACCUAGCACCUCUAUUUCUACUAAGUAUAUGUUUGGACUGAUGGAAAGUAAUAGAAUACAGAGGAAUAAAAUGAAAAAUCAUGGAGUUCAUGGCCUCCAAUGGCUAUUUUUUUCCCUCUAAUUUGGGGGAUGUGGUAAAGAACUAAUUUAUUUUUCUUAACCAUCCCAUUCACUUCCCACAUUAUGCAAUGAAAAUUUUCCUCCCAUCAUUUACAAAAUAUCCAAUUCACAGUAAAGUAUUUUUCAAUGUAGUCAAAAUCAUGAUUCAGAUUGAAGAAUUACAUGAUUACACAAUUUCAUAGCACCCUGUAAAUCCUGGUUACAGGAAGAAUUCAAAAUUUGUAGAUGGCUUCAAUCAACACAUAAAAUUGCAAAUAUGUAGGAAUGGACAGCCUAUUACAAGUUGGGUUUCACAGGUCGGAUUCUCGACUUAUUAGGGAAAUUAGAGAAAAACAGAUCGUGUUCCCAGAGUAUAAUCUCGAGUUUAAAUAAGUUGGUAAUUUUCUUUCACUCUAUACUAUCUGUCAUUAGAUAAUCUAAGUAUAGCCCAAAGUUGAUUACGAGAAAAACACUUAUAUUUGACAGAACUACAAGGAGUUACUAAAUACUAAAUAAAAGAAGACACAUUAGAGUAAGUUAUAUUUCCCAGUAAUAUGCAUGUAAUCCACCACUCUUGUAAUGAAUAAAUAGAUAAUAUGUAAACAAUCAUACCUAACCAACUUGCAAAGGCCAAAUAUUGCAGCCUCUGAGCAUGAACCGGUAUCUCAUUGGCAAUAUCAUGGUGAAUGAUUGGGAAAAAUGGAGGCCAAUUCUUAUCAUCAAGAGGAACACCAGCUGAUAAACAUAUUUUUGAAACAAGAAAACUAUGUUAUUGACUCAGCAUAAAUAUAGACAAUUGAAGGGCCAAUAUGGUGGGGUUUUGUCAUUCACCUCUAGAAACAGCCUCUUCUCUUUUUUUUAUUUCCUACAGAUGCAUUUUCAGAGGGUCACAAAAUGAACAAAAAGUAAACUUGAAAUUAACAGUGGCAGGAGCAAGACUUGUACAUUCAAUCAGUUAAGAGAAUAUAGGUAUACCACUAAUAUCAACAAAAAUAAUGCUUAAUUGUAAAAUCUACCUUCUCUCUCCGUUUUAAAUCUGCUUCCCAAGCUGCUAGCUCUUGACCUUUUUUCUUCGAGUCCUAUAAAAUAUCAUGGAGAAUAAAAUCAGCCCAUCCAAAAAGAAUCUUACAGUAUUAAGAGAAAGUCUCUGAAUUAGCAAUGCCAUUUACAUUUGUAGUAUCCAAAGGAAUAUCAACUGUAGCAUCAUGUCUUUGACCAUAGCCCAGUGGUUCAGAUGCUACUGGUGGACUCCGUGCACCAUUCUGUAAGAACCAAUAGAAUGAAAAAGAACCCGCACCGUGAAUUAAAUCAAACAAUAAAGCAGCAAAUGUCAAGUCUUUCAAAACUAGAAAACUGCACAAGAGAUGACAAUUAUAAUGUCAACGUUAUUUCACAAACGUGUUCUAAAAUUAGACUUAAAGUUAGCACGUCAGAAUUUACAAGGUCUUCAACUAGUUAAAAAUCUCGUGUACACACACAUGCAGCUAAAUUAACUCUGAACUCAUGCCCACAUCAAGCCAUCGGUUACAUUCUGUUGUAAACGAUAAACAUUACAUUAAGGCAAUGUAGCAAGUGAAAGCAAACUAACAUAUAGCACCCUGCUAACUAAAUGAAAUGAAUAAUCACCAGAUCUAUCACACAACCACACUUUAGAGCAAUAUUUUUUAAUAUACAAAUACACAAUAACGAUGUUAUUAAACUUAUAUUCUUUUUUUAUAAAAAAAAAAACUUAUAUUCUUUUCAGAUAACUGGAAUUUGAAUAGUACAUCUACAAGCCCACGACAAAUUUUCUUCUAUGAUACAUUGGUCCGAGGGACUUCACGGUUCACAAAAAAUAUGCUUAACACAGCAGAUGAAGCAUGUACAAAUUCUACCAAACUACAAUUCUUCAUUUGACUUCAGCAAACUCAACACUUCAUCUAGACUAUGCUUGUCCUAAUAAUAGACUAGCACGCGGAGUAACCUGAGCAACUCAGUUGUGCGCACAACAGAGCAAACAAAAGAGAAUAUGCAACAUCAAUCAUUUCAAACCAGAGUACCACUUAUUGGCUAAUUCCAAUAAUUAACUCACCCUUUCCAAUUACGGAUGUUCCAGAUAUUGAGCCAUUGCAAAGAAUAAAAACACAGUACUACAACUAACAGCUCAGCAUCGGAUAACCAUUUCAUUCAUCGCACAUUUUCCAAUUCGCGGAUUCACUCAUUUAAGCAUAUCCGAAAACACCGUAACCGAAACACAAACCUACAAAAUUCCAGAUCCAAGUCCUCCACAGACAUCUACACUAAGUCACUAAGUCCUGCACCGAUUUCUCAUGUCGGUGAGAUUCAGAACACACGCUAGGAUUCAGAACACACUCUUUCCAGUUAACCGCGUCCGCAGCCAAACAAAAAAUCGAAACGAAAACAUAACGACGCAAAUCAACGACAGAUCCAGAUCAAACAACAAGUCACCUAAGCAGCUGUAUGUUUUAUACUAACACCGUGGAACAGAAAUUUAGAGCGAAAAAACUGUUGGAUCCGUUUGAGAAAUCUUGUAAACAACUAAAUAUAGACAUGGAGAGAGAGAGAGUGAGGAGAUUAAAUUACCGAGAAAGGAUUGACUUCUUCCUCCUCAAACGGAUUGGGAUCGUGGUGGCGAUUCAUGGCGAGAACUUCGUUAGAUCCGUGAAAACGUAUCUAACAAGAUACGUUGAGAUUAUAGCGGGUGCGUAAGGGAGUGAGACAGUGGUAGUGCGUGCGGUAAGAGACCGCACUUUUCUCGCUUUUUCUAGCUACCUGGCUUCUUUGCAACGCGGUAUAUAGUUUCGGAAUGGGAAGAAAAACCAACUGAAUUUGAAUUUGAAAACAUUGCCCCUUUAUUGCUUCAUAUUUACCAUUCGUGCCAUUGCGUCGGUAUACUGCUGCUUUCAGUGAGGUGUGCGAAGCGUGAACCUUAACAGAGUUCACGUGAUUCGCGCGUGCAGAUGUGGGGAAUGUUGGUUGGGCAAUUCCGCUGUGGAGUAUGGUAACGGGUGGAGGCUACGUCAGUGGAUUAUUGCUCGUGCAAGCGGUGACUUCGUACCAACAUUAUCACUUUCUUUUAACCGACUUCACAAGUUAUAAGUUCAUUGCCAUGUUUGUCUCGAUUAAAAAGAACAAAAGACGGUUAACAAAUUUGAAAUUUGAAAAGCCACUGUAUAUUUUAAAUUUGAAUUUUGCAUCAUGUGUUUACUGAUUUCUCUUUUGUUGUAAGAAAUAAAGGAGCUUUUGCACACAUCAUUUCGAACAACUUUUUGUUCCAUACAUAUUAAAUAUGGGUCACAUGACAUCAUAUGGAUAACAAAAAGAACAUGCAUAUCUCUUCCUUCAUCACUUCAGUUUGUUCCAUUUCAAUAAAUUAAACACAAAGAGUGGUUUUGGUUAAUGAACUUGUUUCGAUAUGUUUGGUUUGGUUAUGUAAUAAAUAAAUCUAAUUUUAAUUUAUUUGAUAACUAAAUUUUCCAAAGUUUUGAAAAUGUAAGUCAAUAAAUUAAUUAGUUUCAACACGCCAAUAUUAAUGACUUUAACGUCGACAGUUUAGUUAUGUUCAUGAAAAAAUAUAAUUUUUAUAAAUAAAUAAUUAAGAAACAUAAUUUUUAUUUAUUUAUUUUUUCCUCAAUUUAUUUUUUUUGUUAUUAGUUUAAUGGUUGCUACUUUAGGUUGUUAUUAGUUUUUUUUUUAGUGUGUUGUUUGGUUUUAAGUUUGAGUCUUCUUUGUAUAGACUUUGCUUUUAUGUACAAUGUGUUUAUAUAAUUUUACACUAGGGUGGGAGAAUUUAUUUAAAGGGGUAAAUUAAAAAAGUUACUAAUAAAUAAAAAUAUUUUAUCAAAUUGUUUACCUGAAGCGGAAAGAGUCACAUAAUAAUUAUGUGUGAAAGCACUAAAUAAAAUUGUUCUUAUGGUGAUUUUCACGAGUGCACGUUUUUUAAAUUACCACUAAAAAUUGUUCACUGUGAGAUUCAACUGGUAUUUUAAAAACAAGUUUAGCAUUGAUUGGUGUUUCUCUAAGUCUUUAACCCGUGUUAUGCACGGAAAUGGCACAUAAAUAACUAAGGUUUAUCGUAUAAUUGUACUGUUUUCAAAUAUUGUUAAAAUUUAGCUGUAAAUAACAUUUUUUUUUCUUUUUUUUGUUACAUUUUCAUCUUCAUUAAGAAUUAGAAUUUGUAAUCUUCUUUCGUUCUAACUCUAGAAAUAUCUAUAUAUAAUUGUCUAUGUGUAAAAACUAGACAUGGAAGAUAUAAACCAACUUUGGUCAAUGAUUGACAUUAGUUUCUAUUGAUUGUCAUUGCAAAAAAAUAACCUACUGGAAAUUGUCUUCUCUGGAAUUUGAAUGGCAUACCUGCAUAUAAAGGGAUCAAAUUCAUUCUUGAUAUGAAGAUUUUAUCACCAAUAUUUGAUCUUGUUAGGAUUGUUGCACAAAUAACAUUUUUCUUCAAAUCAAUAACUUGCAACCUUGUUCCAUUACAAAGACCAUUGGCUUGAUCAAUAUUUCUCAAAAGCAUAAUAGGCACACCAAUUUUCAAAUGAAGGUCAUGAUUUGGUAUCCUUGAACAUUUUAUCUCAUUUAAGAACUCAAACGUAAACCAUUCACCUUCAAUUUCCCGAUCUUCAUAUGAUUGGCAAGGUGUAUCUGAGCUUAGAUAAGUUAUUUCUUUAGCACUUAACAAAGAUAAAAUAAAAUCAUUCACUUGCUCUACUGACUCAGUUAUCGGACAAAGUAUUGCUCCAUCCUCGAAGUACCCAGGACACGUCAUGUCAGUCAACAAGUUAGGAUAAACAAAAUUCACCAAUGACAACAAAGGUGUUUUUGUCGCCUCAAUCAAUAGAUCAUGUGGAAUUUCCACUACACACUCACCAUUUUCAUUCAAACCAAUUCUGUCAUUUCCAAUAUUGAGGAUCCAAUCAACAAAUUCUUUGAUAUUGUCUGCACUUACAUUAGAUUUUGCAUUGUUUAAUCUCAUGUUCUGAGAAAGUUUUAAGACUCGACAACUUAGCCACAAAUGAGAAGAGUUGAUUGUUGACUUCACAACAUCAUAUCUUGAUCCUUUUUUUUACAACUGGCAAUAUUUAUCCGAAAUCACCUCCUAAAACCACAAUCUUCCAUUGAAAGGUUUUUUACUAUUUCCUUCAUUAACUGUUCUCAUAACAUCUCUCAAAGUUCUGUCAAAGGCUUCAAAACACAUUUGAUUCAUCAUCGGUGCUUCAUCCCAAAUAAUCAAUUUCGUUUCAAUCAAAAGUCUAGCAUGAUGGCUUCCUUGAGGUAUAAUGCAAGUUGAUUCUUCAUUUAUUAGAAUAGAAAUGCAAAAUCUAUAAUGUGUUGUCUUCGCUCCAGACAACAGUAAAUAAGCGAUUUCGCUUGAUGCUACAUUCAAAACAAUCUUUCCUAUACAUCUAACUGCAACAGACAACGUUCUCCACAUAAAAGUUUUUAUAGUUCCACAAUAACCAUAUAGAAAGAAGAAACCACUAUUUUCAUAAACAACUGAUGAUAUGAUCUCUUCAUAAACAUUCAAAGCCUGGAGCAAAAAGUAGUGAAAGAGUUGUGUAAUGUGGUUUAGUUUGUAGUACCACUUCAAUAGCCAUUAAACAUACCUUCGUUCCAUAUUGAAAGUUAAUCUUAUAAGCAUGUUUGGUUGUUCUGUAAGAUCCUAAAUUGGAUGUCGCACUAAACGAUUGGAUGGAAUACACAUGACCUUUACAUAUCUGACUCUGGAAUUUAUAUAUAAGUGUCCUCCUCACGAAUGCAUGGAUUCGUACUCCCUGAAAAAACCCAUAUCAAAUCAUGUUCAAAAGCAACACAUAUAAAACAUAUGUGUAUCAGAAGUUAGAGUUUUAUGAAAAACUUACUUGUUCAUCCAGUAGCACCAUCUCCAGUGAAAAAGGGAUUUUUUGUUUGGUGAAAUCUUGCACACACCAUAACCGUAAGACUCCAACAACCACAUUCCAUGACUCUUCUGUUGAAUUGACGUCAUCUAAAACAUUGAUUGUUUGAUCUAAUUUCAAUAUAGACAUAAUGUAUAGAGAAAAAAGUUUUACUGAGAGAGCACAAUACUGAAGUUCAUUUAAA
rnacentral:lncRNA from 1 species